rnacentral:lncRNA from 1 species
AUGCUUUUGACAGUUUUGCAGCCCUUUUCCUCUCGUUGUCUUCAUUUGAAAGAUCUAAAUAAAUGUCUUUUGCAAUAAGAUUCUGCAAUUUACAAACACUAAAAUCCUGCGAUACCGUGAUCCAGUGAACACGAGGAAAAGUGCCAGGUUCUUGUAGAAGCUGAUUGUAGAUAUGUGUGAGCAAUGUUGUUUUGCCCGCACCCCCCAUCCCGUAAAUGCCAAUACUUGAUGAGGCUUCAUCAUUCAUUAUCCAUGACCAGAUAGCAUUCUUAUUAUUUUCAAACUCUCCACCUGUUAGUUCUUCAGUUAGAAACACAUCUCGUCCGCUGUCAUCGCCAUUACGUUGAAGAACUUCACGAGAGUUGUCUCUCACAACAGGCUGCCCAGGGUCUCCAACCAUGUUCACUAGUGGAGGACAGAGUUGAUCUUCUUGAGGCUCAUCGUGAUUAACAAGUGGCCUCUCAUGAGAACUACCUCUUACAACAGGCUGCCCAGUUACUCUCUCCAGAUGUUGCCCUUCUGGUGCCACAUUGUCGACUUCAACAUGUAAGCUAGUAGGUAAUGGAUCUCCUGGAGUCUCAUUUGUGUUGCCUGUAAGCCCUCCAGAAGAGCUAGCUCCUGCACCCGGCUGCACUAGUCCUCCAGUCCCAUUCUCUAUAUCAUCCUCCAUUACAUUAUUGAUCUCUUCCAAAAAUCUUUCAAGUGCUUGACCCAUUGUACCUAGUGCUUGUAUCCUUCCUGCAUCUCCUGCAAAAUUGUCGACUUCAUUGUUUUGUUCUUGUGGAAUGGUUGAAAUGGCAUUAUCAUUAAAAUUGCUUGAACUUGCUAUGCCUUUAUGUCUUUUGUUGCCACCAUGCACAGCUUGAAAAGCUGCUUCUUGAACGUCUUCAGGCACUUGUCUACAAAUUGCAACACCACGCCCUUGGACUCCUGACAAAUGCCAUUUGAUCCUCGUAACGGAAGUAGCAGCAGCAUAUUUAUAGCCACAAAAUGUACAGUUGAAACGACCACCAUCCAACUUCCCAACAAAAUCCCAAAAUGGAUCAUUCUGUCUAGCCAUUUUCACCGCUUUCUUCUUUGGCCCUUCAAACAUCAAAUAAAAAAUUGUCAAAAGUAAGGCAUAAAAAUGGAUGUUGAAUUAAUUGGAAAAUAAGAACUCAAUCUUAAAAUGAAAAUUUAGAGGAAAUCAUUAUUUUUUAAAUAAGUAAGCAAAGGAAAAGAGUGCAAACCUCAAAUAUCUUACAAAAGAUUAAUGCCGUAAGUGUGUUCACAAAAUAAACUGAAUCUGUAUAAUUAAAUCAAUCAUUACAAAUUCUAAAAUUAAAUAGGCAGGCACUUAACUAUAUAUUUUCCUAUAGAGAUGCACUUCAAGCAGAUAAAAAAAUUAUAACAACUAUUGAAUAAUUUAAAUAAUUUUCAGAAAAGCAAUCUAAGAUAAAAAUUUGGAAGAAACUCGGCUUUUUUUUUAAGAUAAGCAGUUGAAGUUGAAAGCAAAAUGAACAAAGUUAUAAUAUGAGUUUGAGUUCUAUAAUGCAUAGAACUCAAACUCAUACUUUUAUUUGGAAGAAUCAAAACAACUAAUAUUAACAAUGAAUUUGGUAUGAACUCUAGAAGGCAAGGACUUUAAAAGUUUCUCAAUAAGAUUUCAACAGCUUGCGGUUUACUAAAAAAGAUUCAAAAACAAAGACAGCAACAAAAUGAAGAAGAUGAAGUAUAAACACUUUACCUGGAUUCAAAAGAAUUUUAACAAAAGAAUCUGAAGCUAAUUGCUGAGUGGGGAAACGUGUGGACGCGCCUCAAUGUUGAAACUCUGGGAAAGCUGAUCUGAAAAUGUAAGCACAAGAAUAUGAGAAAGAGUUGGCAAACUAACUAGUCACCUGUCAAGCUGACAAGAGGCACUCAACACACAAAAGAAACCUUGAGAGCAGCUGUUUUUAAGAUAAGUAGUUUAAGUUGAUGGCAAUAUGUAAGAACAAAGCUAAAUAUGAGUUUUGAGUUCUAAAAUAGAUCAAGCAACACAUAUACAAUUAAGUUCUACUUGAUUGAUCAAUCUACAAUCCUACUUAUUAAUUCUACAACCAAAUGGGCAAAUCUUAUUUGAAACAAAAUUAGUGGUAGAAAAACAAGAAAAGAAAGUAGGAUUUACCUUUCAAGCAAGAAAGAUACAGAUCAAGAACAGAAUACGCGAUGAUUCGAUUCGAUCAGAAAAAGGAAGCACAGAUCAUGAGAAAGGUUUAAGAAAUUUGGUGAGGGAAAUUAGGAAAUCAAUGGUAUACUGAGAUAUCUCUCUCUCAUUGGAAGACUAGCUAUUAAAAAAGUCACUGCAAUUUGCAAGCAACUUUAUGUUUUUUUCUUUGGAGAAGUCAAUAGAAAUUGGCUGGAAGCUUACUUUUAGUCAAUAAUUGUAAAUGCCUUGUGCUUUCUUUGUCCUGUAUGCAAAGACUAGUCUCACUGCCUCCUGGAAACCACCACUGUCACUUUCAUGAAUCUCUUGCUUUAUUUAUUCAAAAACACUAACUAUUCAACGUGUUCACAUUACACUGUUAGAUGCUAAAACAAAAGUGUUAUGUACUUUUUUAAUAAGAAAAAAAACCAGAUUCAUGAGAACAAUUAAUGAAGAUCGAAACUCCAAAGAACAUCACUUGGCCAGCAAUAACAGUACUACUCCGGUCAGCUGCUAGUAGGGAUGAGGAAAAAAUGGAAUAACUGAUUAAAUAAGAAAAAUAAUAAAAAACACUGAACUGAAAAGAAAAAUAAUUAACUAAUUAAAAAAUCAUAAAAUUGCUGGUUGAAUUCAGUUUAGGUUUUCAAAUUUUAAAAUUGAUUGAAUCGAAUCAAUUCAACGAGGCCAUUAUUUAAAACUUAAAAAUACAAGUAUAAAUAAGUAUUUUUUUAAUCCUAAAUCUAAAAUAGCAUUCUCUAAAGACAAUCAGCCGCCCUUCCUUUGCUUCUGCAUCUUUAUUUUCUCUAAUUUUCCUCUAUACUCACAUCCUAAAAUUGUUAGGAAUUACUAGGCUCUGCUGCUCCAUCAAAUUCACACUUUUCUUCACUUUUGAUUUUAAUUUUUUUAAUUCUCCCAUCAAAGGCACGCACUCGGUACAGGAAGUAUCUACCACUGCCUUCCUUCAGAUUCAAAGCGGCACUCAACUAAGGGACUUCGGGCCAGAAGAAAGUAAUGUUUACUGACGGGAUGAGACGAAAGAGAUCCCUCUCUUUAGCUUUUAAUCUUUUUUUCUUUUUAUUUCUCAUGUAACCUUAGAUUGUUAUGUCAAACUAGUAAAAAAAAAUUUGUGAGGACAACAGGAUAACAAUUGAAUAUUCAGUUGGAUUUUAAAAUAUUAUCCUUAGCUGGUUUAGCUUGUUGAAAAGCUAAGAUUUCUCAUAAAAUAAGCAUAAAGUUGUGAAAAUAAAAAUAAAACAUAUAAGUUUAAACUGGUUUGGAAGGAAAAAAAAACCAAACUUAACAUGGUCGAUUCUAACUGGUUUUUAGUUCGGUUCAGAAACUUUUAAAAAAAUAAUUUCAGUUUUUUUUUUAUUGAUUUUACCCAAAAUUGUUAGGAUACUGGCAUGCAAACCCGACAAGAUAAAAGACAAAUGAUAGGAUAAAAUGAGAAAUUAGACACACAAGAAUUUACGUGGUUCACCCAAUUUGGCUACGUCCACGGGCAAGUAUAGAAGGAUUUUACUAAGUAAUGUGGGAAUUACAACCUCUCUCUACUAAUAGGAGAACAACUGAAAUCUCUCUAUUAAUAGGAGAAAACACCUCACUUACUCUCUCACAAAUACCUCACAAUUUUGUGGGAUUACUUUCCCUCUCUCACUCUUCUCUUCCUCUCUUGUUUCUCUCUUAUGGUGUGUUUACAAUGCUUGGAUGCAUUGCCUAUUUAUAGGCAAGCAUCCAUGUAAAUACAAGGGGCAAGGCAAGUGGCACAAGUUUGGUGCCUACAAUUUGUGACUAAGGAAGGAUGGCUUCACCACCAUUGUUGACUCCCACCUUUGUUGACUUAGGUGGCUGGACUUUGGUGGCUGGCUUCAUAUUCUCCCACUUGAAGACUUUGAUGAUUUAAUCAAGUCUUCACACAUGAUCAUCUGUGAUUCUUCUAUCCUUUCUAUACUUGCCAUCUUCAUGCUGCUUACGUUUCUACUAGGCCAUAAGAGGAUCUGCACCAUAUAUACUUAUCAGUGCUGACUGGUUUAGUCAAAGCAUCUGCUGGGUUUUCCUUUGUGUGAACCUUCUGAAAAUCCACACUUCCAUCUUCCACCACUUCGCGAACAAAGUGAUACUGAACAUCUAUGUGUUUUGUUCUUGAAUGAAACGCUGGAUUCCUUGCAAUAUGCAAGGCACUCUGACUAUCACAAUACAAAAGAAUCUUCUCUUGUUUGUGCCCGAGCUCCUUCAUAAGUUUCUUCAUCCAUAUUGCUUCUUUACAAGCUUGUGUAGCUGCCAUGUACUCAGCUUCUGUUGUGGAUAAAGCUACAACAGUCUGAAGUUUAGAGACCCAGCUCACAGCUCCUCCUGCAAUUAUGAACACAUAGCCUGUAGUGGAUUUUCUUUUCUCAAGGUCACCAGCAAAAUCUGAAUCAACAUAACCUCUGACAGUAAAUUCUGAUCCUCCAUAACAUAAUGCGGCAUCUGAGGUACCCUUGAUGUAUCUCAAGAUCCUCUUAAUAGUAUUCCAAUGCUCUCUACCAGGAUUUGCCAUGUAUCGACUAGUUGCUCCCACUGCUUGUGCAAUGUCUGGUCUUGUACAUAUCAUGGCAAACAUUAAACUUCCCACUGCUGAUGCAUACGGUACUCGAGACAUCUCCAUCCUCUCUGCUUCAUUGCUAGGAGACAUACUUGAGGAUAAUUUGAAGUUAACAGGAAGUGAGGCGGAAAUUGGCUUACAAUCUUGCAUGUUGAAGCGACGCAAGAUCUUCUUCAAAUAAUUCUUCUGAGAAAGCCAAAUCUUCCUUUUACUUCUGUCUCGGUGAAUUUGCAUCCCUAGAAUCUUGUUUGCUGGUCCCAAGUCCUUCAUAUCAAACUCCCUAGCCAACUGUGCCUUCAAUUCUUGGACUCGAUCUUUGUUGGGGCCUAUUACCAACAUGUCAUCUACGUACAACAACAAAAUGAUGAAAACAUCAUCUUCUUCAAACCUCUUGUAAUACGUACAAUGGUCUGAACUGAGUCUGUUGUACCCAAGGCUAAUUAUGAAGGAAUCAAAUCUCUUGUACCAACACCUCGGCGCCUGUUUGAGACCGUAUAGAGAUUUGUUCAACCUGCAAACCAAGUUCUCCUUGCCUGUUUCAGCAAAACCCUCUGGUUGGAGCAUAUAAAUUUCUUCUUCAAGUUCUCCAUGAAGAAAUGCAGUUUUCACAUCUAACUGCUCUAGGUGAAGAUCAAAUAUAGCACACAUUGCCAAGACUACUCUGAUUGUAGUAAGUCGUACCACCGGAGAAAAUAUCUCAUUGAAGUCUAUCCCUUCUUUCUGAGCAUACCCUUUCACCACCAAUCUUGCACGAUACCGCUCCACUUGAUCAUUGCCAUCACGUUUUAUCUUGUAAACCCAUUUGUUGCCAAUGGCCUUUCUUCCUUGUGGUAGCAGAACAAGAUCCCAAGUGUUAUUCUUGUGCAAAGCUUCAAUCUCCUCUUGCAUUGCUGUCAUCCACAUAGAUACAUCUGUGCUUUUGAUAGCCUCAUGAAAAGUUGAUGGCUCUCCAUCCUCUGUUAGAAGACAGUAUGCAAUGUUGCUCUCAGUAACAUAUUCUGAGUGCCAAGCCGGUGGUCUUCUUUCACGAGUUGACCGUCGAACUUCAGGAGUUUCAGACUCUAUUUGUUCUUGUUCUUCAUGCUCUGGUGCAGCUUCAGAAGAAGUACGAUUCUGAGUAUUUUCCAUCUGGACUUCUGUAGUCUCCUUUAAAAUGCUAUUAUUUUCUUCCAUUUUCAUUUUAUCUUCUGCAAAUAUAACAUCUCUGCUGAUGACUACCUUGUGGGCAGUGGGAUCCCACAAGCGAUACCCCUUCACUCCAUCAGCAUAUCCCAAGAAUACACAUUUUCUGGAUUUUGAAUCCAGCUUGCUAACUUCUUGUGUAUUGUACAUCACGUACACAGGACUUCCAAAUAUAUGCAAUCGAGAAUAAUCAGCUGGUUUUCCAGUCCACAUCUCCAUCGGUGUCUUCAGCUCAAUUGCAGUUGACGGAGAUCGAUUUAUCACAUAACAUGCGGUAUUGACUGCUUCUGCCCAAAAUGACUUUCCUAGACCUGCAGUCUUCAACAUUGCUCUUGUUCUUUCUAAUAGAGUUCUGUUCAUCCGCUCUGCCACUCCAUUUUGCUGUGGAGUGUAUGCCGUUGUGAACUGCCUUUUGAUACCUUCAUGUUGACAGAAGUUAUCAAAUUCAUCACUGGUAUAUUCUCCUCCAUUGUGAGUCCUCAAACACUUGAUCUUCUUUUCAGAUUCAAGUUCCACCCGCGCUUUGAAAGUUUUAAAGACUGCGAACACAUCUGCCUUCCUUCUAAUUGGAUACACCCAACAUCUCCUGGAGAAGUCAUCUAUGAAUGAUACAAAGUAUCUUGCUCCUCCCAAGGAUACAACCGGUGCUUGCCAAACAUCAGAGUGAAUCAGAUCUAAGAUGCAUUUGCUCUUAGUUGUUGAUGUGCCAAACUUCAACCUGUGUUGUUUGCUUGUAACACAAUGCUCACAAAAGGGUAAAGUAACCUUUGUAAGCCCAGGGAGUAACUUCUGAUCAGAGAGAACUUUCAAACCUUUCUCUGACAUGUGGCCUAGUUUUUGAUGCCACAUCAUCGUCUUCUCUUCUGCAGGACUGGCUGAUGCGAUUGACGCUUCUGCCCCAUGAUGUGUUUCUCCCAUUAAUACAAACAUGUUUGCAACUGUCUUUCUCGCCUUUAAAACCACCAGCGCUCCUUUGACAAUUUUCAUUAUUCCAUUGUCUGUUCGGAUCUUACAGCCAAGACUAUCAAAUUGUCCCACGGACAAAAGAUUCUUCUUUAAGUCUUUCACAUGUCGCACUCCUGAAAUAGUGCGAAUUAAGCCAUCAUACAUCUUCAAUUUGAUGGUGCCAAUGCCAGCAAUCUCUACAGCAUGAUUAUCACCCAUGAACACUUUGCCUCCAGAGAUGGGUUCAUAUGUCUGGAACCAAUCUCGAUUAGGAGUCAUAUGCCAUGUUGCUCCUGAAUCCAUUAGCCAGACCUCAGUAAGCUCUUCUCUAUCUGUAGAGAUUGUCGCUGCUUCACUAUAUAAAACCUCCCCAUCUUCUGAGGUGCUCGCAACACAUCCUUGAGGUUUUGAUGACUCUGCAGUGUUCUCUAUACCCUUUUUAAACCAACAAUCCCUUUUGAAGUGCCCUUUUCUGCCACAGUUGUAGCAUUUCACAGUCUUCUUGCUUCUUGAUUUGGACCUCCCUUGCCUUUGACUCCCACUGGAGCCACACUCCGUUGAUCUCCCUCUUGACACCAACAAUGCCUCUGCUUGGUUUGAACUAUUUCUGUCUCCUUUAUUUUUGCGCCUAUUUUCUUCUUCCAAGAUGGCGGCUGCAACAUCAUCAAAGACUAAAUAGUCUGUGAGGAUAUUAUUGGUCAAGUUGAUAAUGAGUUGAUCAUACGAAUCUGGAAGACUUUGAAGUAGAAGCUCUGCACGUUCACUUUCCUCUAUUUGUUGACCCAACGUAGUGAGUUGUGAAAAUAGAGUUCUUAUUGUGUUGAUGUGGUCAGUUACCGCCGUGGUUUCUGCCAUUCGAAGGGUAUAAAGUCUCCGCUUUAAGAAAAUCUUAUUGUGCAAAGACUUGGACUCAUAUAGCUUUGUUAGAGUCUCCCAUAUCUCCUUAGCUGUUUUCUUCUCCGCCACACUUGAUAACACUUCGUCGGCUAAUGCUAAAUGUAUGUUAGCAAUAGCAUUGCCAUCCAUUUCAUUCCAUUUUGCAUUAUCAGUGAUCUCCGCGGGCCGAUCCCCAAUUGCUGCCAAGCAAUUAUCUUUCCUUAAGAUUGCCUUGAUUCUCAUUCUCCACAGUGAGAAAUUGCUCCCCUUGAACCUCUCAAUCUCGUACUUUGCUGCCAUUGUAUUCACCGAGAUCUAUUCAGCUAUCACCGUUUCACAGAUCUGUAACGUAUAUAGAAAUAGCAUCGUGUGAAUAAUACUUUACUAAGUAAGUUCCCAGGAAAGAUUGGAGGGGUCACAAACGGUCCCGCUUAAAACCCAAUCUCCUUAGACAGAACUUCCUAGACUGUAUUUAAUCACCGCACUGACUUUCUAUAUACGCCAACAAUAACGUAUGUGAACAGUACCGUAUGGAUGAAUAGUGACGUAUAGGUGAAUAGUGCCGUAGACGUGAAUAGUAACCGUAUACACGAAUAACUUUUGUGUAUUAACAACACCAACCAGAAGGCUCUGAUACCACUGUUAGGAUACUGGCAUGCAAACCCGACAAGAUAAAAGACAAAUGAUAGGAUAAAAUGAGAAAUUAGACACACAAGAAUUUACGUGGUUCACCCAAUUUGGCUACGUCCACGGGCAAGUAUAGAAGGAUUUUACUAAGUAAUGUGGGAAUUACAACCUCUCUCUACUAAUAGGAGAACAACUGAAAUCUCUCUAUUAAUAGGAGAAAACACCUCACUUACUCUCUCACAAAUACCUCACAAUUUUGUGGGAUUACUUUCCCUCUCUCACUCUUCUCUUCCUCUCUUGUUUCUCUCUUAUGGUGUGUUUACAAUGCUUGGAUGCAUUGCCUAUUUAUAGGCAAGCAUCCAUGUAAAUACAAGGGGCAAGGCAAGUGGCACAAGUUUGGUGCCUACAAUUUGUGACUAAGGAAGGAUGGCUUCACCACCAUUGUUGACUCCCACCUUUGUUGACUUAGGUGGCUGGACUUUGGUGGCUGGCUUCACAAAAAUCAGAACUGAAAAUGCAGACCCCUAGCUGCUAGCAUGGAUAAACAUAUGCUUACUUGGGGAAUAUCAGCACAAAAAAGGAACCAUCUCUUAAAGGUAAGCAAGCUGUCUUUCACCCUUUUCCUUUUUGUUGUUUUAUUUAAUCAGUACUGCUAACUUACAUUUAGUCAGUCAGUAACAGCUGAUCUCGUGAAGGAGAGCACAGGCAAUUAAUUGAUUAACAUGAAGGAGGACUAGAUAAUUAUUUCUUGUGUAAUAGGGCAAAUCCCCUGUGCUCUCUUUGUCCAAUAUGCAAUUAUUACAGAUGAUACAGAUACAGAUCAAGAACACUAUACGAGAUGAUUGGCAGAAGUCGGAAAAGGGAAAUUAGGAAAAGGGAAGCAAAGAUCAUGAGAAAGGUUUAAGAAAUUUGGUGACGGAAAUCAGGAAAUCAAUGGUAUACAGAUCAAGAACAGAGUGUAAUGUUUUGAAAAUAAUUGUAAACUGCAAGCUUAUUUUUAGUCAAUAAUUGUAAAUCCCUUGUGCUUUCUUUGUGCUGUAUGCAAAGACUAGUCUCACUGCCUCCUGGAAACCACCAAUGUCACUUUCAUGAAUCUCUUGCUUUAUUUAUUCGCACUAACUAUUCAACGUGUUCACAUUACACUGCUUCAAAUCCUUUGAGUCUACUGUUCGAUGCUAAAACAAAGGUGUUAUGUACUUUUUAAUUAAAAAAAACCAGAUUCAUGAGAACAAUUAAUGAAGAUCGAAACUCCAAAGAAAACUUGGCCAGAAAUAAUAGUACUCUGGUCAGCUGCUAGUAGGGAUGAGGAAAAAAUGGAAUAACUGAUUAAAUAAAAAAAACAAAAAAAAACACUGAACUGAAAAGAAAAAAAAUUAACUAAUUAAAAAAUCACAAAAAUUUCUGGUUGACUUCAGUUUAGGUUUUUAAUUUUAAAAAUUGAUUUAACCGAACCAAUUCAACUAAAUCAUUAUUUAACACUUAAAAAAAUAAAUAUAAAUAAGUAUUUUUUUUAAUCUUAAAUCUAAAAUAGCAUUCUCUAAAUACAAUCAGCCACCCUUCCUUUGCUCCCUGCAUCUUUAUUUUCUCUAAUUUUUCUCUAUACUCACAUCCUAAAAUUGUUAGGAAUUAUUAGGCUCUGCUGCUCCAUACUCCUCUGUUCUCCUAUCAAAUUCACACUUUUCUUCACUUUUAAUUUUAUUUUUUUUAAUUCUCCCAUCAAAUGCCAGAUUUCCCAAUAUUCCAAGUUGCAGUGUGUAAUGUUUUGAAAAUAAAAGAGAAUAGGAAAAAAGGCAACAAAACCUUUGAAGGUUUAAAAGUAUAUAUAAAUGAAUAAGGAGUAUUUUAGUAAUUGAAUAAAACCUUACUAAGUAUAAAUAGAAGGAAAAAAGAAAGAGGGAUUUGAAAUUUGAGAGUGAGAACAAGCAAGAGAAAAGAAAAGGGUAGGAAGAAGAAGAGGAGGAAAGAGGGAAAGAUAAAUAAAAGAGAAGAGAGUUAGAGAAAAUAAGUUUAAAAUGUAAUAUUUAUAUUUUGAUGUGUAUAAAUAUGUUUUUUUAGCUUUGAUUUACUGUUUUGUUGAAGAUUAGAGUUUUGAAGAUUUUGUUUUGAGUUGAUUGAUGAAUUGAUUUGAAUAUUAUGGGUUAAUUAUUUUGGGUAAUGAGUUAUUUAGUUGAUUUUGAAAGAUUUUAGAUAAAAAUGAUGAUUUUGAGUUAUGAUCUGUUUAAAUGAUGAGUUUGAGUUAGAGAUUUUGGUAAAUCAGGAGGUAAUCUAUGAAAAAAUCUGAGUUUAAGGUUGAAGAUGAUGAAAUUUCAGUUUGAUCUCUUAAUUUAUGAAAAUUACAGUUUAGUCCCUGAACUUUGAAAAAAAUAUAAAAUGGUCCCUGUAGCAUAAUUAGAGAUUCUGGACAGAAUUGAGGGUGAAUUAUGGGCAAGAUUCCAAUAUAUUUAUGAAUUUAUGACAUUUUCAGUUUGACCCUCUAAUUUGAAAAAAUUACAAUUUGACCCCUAAAAAUUUAACAAAAAUUCCAGCAUAAUUAGAGAUUCUAGACAAAAUUGAGAAUGAUUUAUGCGCAAACUUCCAAUAUAGUUAUGAAUUUAUGAUAUUUUCAAUUUGAUCCUCCAAUUAAUUUGACUCCUAAAAUUCUAUUUGGUCCUUAGCUGUAAUAUUAGCCUUUUCAGAUUGGUUUGAUGAAUAAUUAAGGAUUAUUUAAUUAAUUAUUAUCGAGUCUUAUUAUUUGUUUUUUUAUGAAUUAGAUUUCAAGAAAACCGUUUAAUUUUUGGGUUUUGAAAAAAAAAGACUAGUUUAGUUCAAAACAUAUAAGGUUAUGGAACAAACUCUUAGUUAAGUGUAUUAAAUAGGUUGUACGUUCUUUUUUAGUCUUUUUUUUUAAUAUGUCUCCUUUGUAUUUAAAUAAUCAUGAUAUUCUACCUAAGACACAUCAGUAGGCUUUCCUUCGGUAUCUACUUUCGAGUUCUGUUUGCUUUUCAGUUAAGUGAGUGAAUAAUUUUUCAUAUGGUACAUAUAUUUAAGUUGUUAAUAUGAUUUGGAUCAUGCUUUUUGAUAAUAUAUGUUGAAUAUUAUUUUUGUUAUGAUAAAAAAUGAUCAAUUAUUAAAUCUAAAUUCUUGAUAUGAACCAAUAUAUAUUUUUGAAUUGACUUCUGAGUUGAAAGCUCAUCAUUUGAUUGAUGUUAUAAGUUGUGCCUUGAAAUAUGAAUAUCUUUAUUUGAUUAUGAUAUGAACCUAUGGUAUGCCAGUCAGAAUACCCAUGCUAACAACGUAGUAUUAGUCUUUGUGCAUAUCGUAUCUAAAACCCUAGUUGGUCGGGGGAGUCACCAACCUGUGUGGACUGAUCAUCCCACAAUAUGAAGCCUCAUGCUUAUUACAUUUUGAUUUUCUGAUGAGCUUUACCUUAUGAUAUUCUUGUUAUGACCUAUUUAAGAAAUCUUCUUAUAAGAACCUAAAGCCAUAGUUGUGCGCGCGCGCGUGCGGGUGUGUGUAUAUAUAUAUAUAUAUAUUACUUAUUGUUGUAUUACCUAGCUCGUAUAUGUAUAUUAAACGUUACCUACUCACUGAGUUGUUGAAAUCACCCUCAUAUUAUUUAUCUUUUUUAGGCUUAUAACUUAUUAUCAGGUUACUUUUGUUGGAUCUUCAAAACAUGUUUUUUUGGGUGUAAUUUGAAUUAAGUCUUGUAUUAAGAUAAUCAAAUUAUAUUAUAAAGUUAGUUUUGUUAUUACUGUUGCGUUGAACUCCUAUUGAGUUAUUUAAAGUAUAAGUUUGCAUGUGAGUUUGGGUUCACAGAAAUAUAGAACCUUGAAGGGAAUCUUAGCUAUGUGCCGGUCAUGGAUUCAAGAAUCGAGUCGUGACAUAGUAAUUUUAUUUUGGUUGCUCAAAUACUCUGGUACGGAUAGAGUAGUCCAGUAGAUUUGUUAUAAACAGAAAAGAAAAGAAAAGUGAUUAACUUCAAUUCUUUAAUUUAUUUAAGAAAUAAAACCAUUUAAAGACCAAUAUUAUUCCUGCAUACAUCACAAAGCUGGUAUAAGAUCACGUACGAUCUAUAGGUAACAACCCGAUUAAGAAUCCUCCAAUAUGUGUUGAACCUGAAAGAUUGAGAAGACAGAGAAAGAGAGAGCGGGAGCGAGAGAAAGACGGGGAGAAGAGAGGGAAUCCACAGCCGGUAUAUUUAGGCAGAGCAGAAGAUGGUGCUGAUUUGACAACCUUCUCAGUAAUGAGAAUUACAAUUUAUUGAAACGGUGCGCAUAAGUAACGGCUUAACAACAGCUUAGUACGGUGCGUUUUGUCAAGAAAUCAGUGGCAAUUAAAAGUUAUCCCUCCUCCAUUGUUAAUUCCUGGGAUAUGUAUGCAUCCCUUCAUGUGUUGAAAUCUGAAGGCCUUUAAUUAAGAUGGAUCGUUAUUUCUUCUCAGGAAAAAAAAAGAAGAUAAUUUCUUUUCCAUAAUUGAAGAAAACGCGUGCUGCCCUUUUUUUUUUAAGGCAAAAUGUAUUUAUCAGAUUGAAUAUGUCAAAGAAUUAUUUUAAUUUAAUAUUUUAAAUUAUUAGAUGAAUUCUCAAUAUAUAAUUUAUAUUUAAUAGAUAAAAAAUCAAAAUACACCAAAAAAAAAACAAAGAACAAAAACAGGGGGUAGCAUUGGCUAGCCAGCACACCAUCAUCAACUUCGUCUCCACCGAACCAGGUUCUCAAGGGUCACAUUGCUUUGGGUAAUGCUUGUUUUCUCAACGGAACUAACGGUCAUGCCCUUGACAUUCUUGCUCGAAUUCCUUUAUGGAAGGAUGGUCUUGGACUCUUGAUUAUCACCAUGGCACUGGUCAUGGUAUUGGAUCAUACCUAUAUGAACAUGAAGGAUUUUGGUGAACUGUAACAGACGUCCACAUGCUCGUAAUUAGCUUCCAUGACUGUAACAGAUGAACCUGGAUACUAUGAGGAUGGGAACUUCGGGAUAAGAUUGGAGAAUGUGCUUAUCGUCAAGGAGGCCGAUACAAAAUUCAAUUUUGGUGACAAGGGCUACUUAUCUUUCGAGCACAAAACAUGGGCACCAUAUCAAACGAAGAUGAUCGACUUGACCCUUCUUGGUCCUGAAGAGAUAAAUUGGCGUAACAGCUACCAUGGGAGAUGUAGGGAUAUUCUGGCCCCUUAUUUGGAUGAAUCUGAGAUGGCAUGGCUGAAUAAAGCUACUGAACCCAUAGGGGUGUGAUUCUUGUUUCUAGUAGCCAAGGACCCUCUCAAAAAAUAAGAACAUAAGAUGAAGAAAACUGAAACUUCAUAUUUAUUUAAUUUAUUUCACAAGGGAAUUUUUUUAAGCUCCAAAAUCAGUUUGUGAUGUACAAAAACUUAUGUAGAUUUAGUGUUUUUAUGAUUUAUAUUAUUUUUUAACAUAUUUUUUCAAGUUAAAAAGCAAAAAAGAAAAAGAAAAAAUAAGAGGGAGUGCCUGCAUGAAUGUGUUUCUAAAUAUAGAACUUCUCCCUUGUUCAAACGUGGAGAGGUAUAGGUUUUUCAAACCCUUGUCAGCAACAAUACUAAGUGAUACAAACCCUAGCGAAAUUUAAUGGAAUUCAAGAUUUUAAAAUCAAUUUAAUCCAAGUUUGUUGAUAUUUGAAUGAGUUUAUCACAAUGGAAGACUUGUUCAAAGGCAACAAGACUAUAAACCAACUCGAUCACAAUGCUUACACCUGGAGACGAGCAAAGAAAGUAUAAAUUCACAACAAAGAAUGGUCAGUUCUUUGAAGAGUUGAAAGUUCAAUCAAGAACCAAGAUUGAGCAACCAAAAAUUCGGCUACAAUGCUAAAAAUAUCAUCACAAGUCUGCCCUAAAAUUAUUCCUAAAGAGUAUUUAAACUCCAAGCCAAAACCCUAGUUUUUCUAAUGGGUUUCACAUAAGUCUAAUUUAAAUAAUAAUAAACUCAAGUUAAAACUAGCCCAAACUAAUUAAAAUAAACAAAAUAAACAAGUCUAACACCUAAAUAAAAUGUCUCCUCUCAAAAUAAAUGAAGUUUGAUAGCCCAACUAAUUAAAUAAGACAAAUUUGUUGUUUUCGCAUUCUGUCUGGGAGCAGCAGCAAAAGUUCAACUUAAAAUAGAUGGUUCUCUCUCGUCUUAAUGAAUUAGAAGACGUGUCAUAUACCAUUGGAAAGGUAUGGAAGUUUAGUUUCCAGAACAACUUGAAUAACAUAAAAAAUAUAUCUAUAGCUCCAGUUAUGACUAAAAGAGUAACAAAAGGUCAAACUGUCCGAAUCUAGUCUUCUUCUCCCAAUCCUUGUGUAAUGGUCUUGGUUCUACCAACAAGACCCUCUUGAACAAUCAGUUGAAGUGAUGGGGAGUCCACAGCUCAAAAGCCAAACGGAUCUGCAAGUUACAGUGUGCCAGAUGGGAAGCAAUGUCAGAGCCCUCUCUAACAAGGAAGGAGAUAGUUUUAUCCAUGCUAGCUGCUGACCCCAGUACUGAAGUAUGUUAUUUCUGGCCAAGUGAUUUUCUUUGGAGUUUCUAUCUUCAUUAAUUCAUUAGACUCGAGGACUUAAAGCAGUGUAAUGUGAACACGUUGAAUAAAUAAAGAAGAAAGUGACUUAAACUUUGCAUGGUGGUCUCCAUGGGAGUAAUCAUGGCAUACAGGACAAAGAUAGCACAAGGGAUUUGCACCUCUGUUUUAUUUCUUUAGAGUAAAAAAACAUAAAGUUGCUUGCAAAUUGCAAUGACUUUAAUAGCUAGUCUUCCUCUAAGCCUAAUUUCUUAUUGAUUCCCUAAUUUCCCUCACCAAAUCUCUUAAACCUCUCUCAUGAUCUGUGCUUCCUUAUCAUUCAAUUCUAAACCUCCCAAAACUUUCAGAUAAAGGCUAGUUAAAUUCACGCGAUCAAACUAAUAAGAAUCAGACUGUAUGAAGAAACCCUUAUUCAGGCAAUGUAAAAAGGUUUGAAACUUAUCUCAGAAGCUAAUGGAAAUUCCAUUGGUUGUUAGAACCUUACUAUUCACAACUCGAAUAUUUCGAUUCAUGAAGAUUACAAGCAACUCAAACACAUAAUUUAAAACAGAUGGUAAGAGUCGGAAUGCUGAGGCUAGAGUCCAUGGAAGGCAGAAUUUAAAACCUUUCCUUUGGUAAUCAUCCUUCGAUAAUACUGGUCUUUUUUUUUCUUUUUGUAUUUGCCUUUUGUUUUUAUGAUUAUCUUUUUUUUUUUUUCAUGUUUUUCUUUUGUGUAUCUUGUUUUUAGCUAUCUUAAUUAGCCCUUUUAAUAUAUCGAUUUAUUUCAAAAAAAUAAAAUUAAAAGUCCUGAGUACUCCAAUGCAUCCUUAGAAUUUUCCAUCAGGUGAAUGUAUUCCCAUAGCUUAAAAAUCAAUCUCUGCCUUUGACUCCCAAUACUUGCAUAUCCAAACCUUGAGGAAGAGGAGGAGGCGGAAGAGUUAGGGGGUAAAGAAAACGACACCGCCUUCUUCUUCUUCAUCUUUGAGGAUGCGGGGUUUCUUGGUGCCUGGUUUCCAGAAUUGCUGUGACAUUUUUAUUUUUAUUUUGAAUACAAUAAAUAAAUAAAUGUAAAAUAUAAUUCAUUCCCAAUAUUACAACUAAUAAUGAUUUUUUAAAAUAUAUUUACCAAGAAAAUAUGUAAUAAGGCGAUUGUUAUGCAAUUCUGAUCCAUAAUAGGGAGAUUCAGAUUCCAAAAGCAGACUUUCUCACCGUACACAAAUAACCAUCUUUCGAAACAAAUCUUGAAUCUAGUGGAUAAAAAAAAUCAUCUUUAACAAAAAAAAAAAACCUAAAAAUAAAAUCACAUAUAAAUUCUUCAUUAUUAUUGGUUUUGUAAAUUUUCAUUUGUUUCAAAUAUUAGGGACCCAAUUGAUGAGUUUUGUUUUACCUUGCUCUUCUUGAUGAUGUCUUGGCUGACAUUGUUUUUCCAUAUUAGCUGGAAAUCCACCUGGAAUCUAAUAUAUGUAUUAAGAGUUUGUUUUGGUAAAGUAAUGCCAAGUGAUUUUUAAAAGUAUUUUUUUAAUUAAUAUUAAAAUAAUUAUUUUAGAUUUUAGAUUUUUUAUUUUUUAUAUCAGUAUAUUAAAACUAUUAAAAAUAAAUCUAACAAAAAUAAUUAUUUUUUUACAUUACUAAUCAAAAUAAGAAUUUGGAAGCUGGACUAAGAAAACUCAAGAAAACGAAUUUUUAUUUGUGUUUGGCUUGCAUAUGUGAACUAUAUAUGCAACAAGUAUUUACGAGUUAAUUUGUGAAAUUAACUGCAAUGUAUUAUUAAAAUGGAUCUAUUUAUUAAAGAUAAGAAAUCAUCUCGAUAUAUAACAAAUUUGUUAAAAAUUUAGAAUUUGUUGUAAUUAACUAAAUUUUAAAACCAUCUACUUUGAAUAACUUUUUUUUUUUUUCAGUUUAGGGUAAUUUCAUAUGAGAAACUCAUCUGUUUAUGAGGUGUGGUUGGUGGGUUCGAUUUGGUAAGAUCUGGCAGCUAGUUUUUGUUGGGUUUGGUGUGAGGGGGAUGUGUUAGGGCAGUGGAGACUUGGGUCUAGCUGUGAACUAUUGUUGUUUGUGGCUAAUUCAAUGGCGCUUGUAUUACUUGGGGUAGCAGGACUUGGCCAUGGUUCGAUAAAGUUUAUGUCUGCCUCACUUGUAGGUGCACCACCUCUACUUGAGCCUGUGCCAACUGGGUCUGAAGGACAUCAAUUUGUUGGUGUACAGCAGAUCUUGAUCCUAGGAUGAGAACACCUUCCUCUCGGAGAGGGGCCAAGGCCUUCUCCAUGUUGGAGUGGUGGGUGCUGUCUCUAUCCAACUGAACAUCAAUGGGACUCAAGCACCGUGGUCAAGCCCUCGUUUCUUUUCUUCUUCAACAUGCUCAAUGCCAGAUGACAUAAGCAAUUCCUUCACCCUCUUAGCUAAUUUUGGAGCUCCUGACAGGAUCAUCCUUCACUCACCAGUCUGUUGACAAGGAUUAAUUCUUGGUUUAGAAAAUAUUAUUAAUUAGAAAAACUAGAAAUCAGGAACAAGUUUAGAAAAGAUUGUGAGAUAUUUAUAUUCUUAGUUUUCCAUCCUUAAAAAGGAUUUAUUAUACAUGUAUAUAUACAAGUUCUAUGCAAUAAAAAAAGAACACAAUGAAUUGAUACAAACAAUUAUCUCUGAACUACCCAGACACUGUUGACAUGGUAUCGGAGCAGACGAUCCAAAUCUAAACCUUUUUUAAAUCACAGACAACCUAAAACAAUGGCAGAACCGAACCCACCAAAAACCAUGCUCAAAUUACUAUCACAAAUUCCAAAACCAACACUCAAACCAACUCUACCCAAAACCCUGACUUGUCAUAUGUCGUCCCUGGAAUCAAACUUAAUGGCUAGAAUUAUGAACUAUGGUCACAGAUCAUAGAGAUGUUCGUCUCUGGAAGAGACAAACUUAUUCAAGUCACCAGCAUACCAUUGAAGAUUCUUCAACCCCACCAUUGAAAAAAAAAUACAUUGCCGAGUUGUAUACACAAACUAAACCGAUUCUCAAGCUGAUGUCAACUUUAAAUGCAAAGAGGGCACGAGAUCUCGCUCUAAAGCUGAAUUUUGUUCGACACUCAAGGCGAAUACUUUGGUAAUUCACCCAUAGAGACUUCUCCAUGUCAAUCACUAAGUAAGACUUUGGGUUUUGGCAUCAUGUCAGUGAUGACAACCGGGACUACAUCUUUGGAGGAUCAUGUGGCUAACUUGACAAAACUAGUUGAGGGGCUUUCAACUUCACUUAAGGAAAAAUACCACAAAAUAAAAGAGUUGAUUAACAAACUCGAGUGCAUGAAUGAGGGAGGCCAAACUUCAACUACCAAGAUUUUGCAAGUAGAUCGAUUUGAUGUCAUUGAGGAUUCUACAAUUGGAGCUACAAGGAAUAUUUGUGGUAAAACUAAUGGCAUCUUCACCACGGAUCAACUUAAAGAACUUAUCAAGGAAGUCAUCACGGACUAAGUAAAAAAGCUCAGUUUAACCUUCGUAUUCUUAUGCAAAAUCAUACACCUAACGAAUUGACCUGCUAAAGAUACCUCUAAGCUAUCAACCAUCAAAGUUUCAACAAUUCAAUGGCUAAGGGAAUCCUAGGCAACAUGUAGCUCACUUUGUGGAGACUAGCAACAAUGCUAGAACUCAUGGUGAUCUCAUGGUAAAACAGUUUGUUCGUUCCUUGAAAGGUAAUGCUUUCGACUGGUACACUAACUUAAAGUUUGGUUCAAUCGAUAGUUACGAGUAAUUGGAACAUGAGUUUAUUAACCGCUUCUACAGGACUCGUCGUGUGGUUAGCAUGAUUGAACUCACCAAUGUACGUCAACAGAAGGAAGAGCCUAUCAUGGAGUGCAUUCAUCAGUGGAGAAACCUUAGCCUUAACUAUAAAGAUUGGCUCACAAAAUUUUUUAUGGUAGAUAAAUGUGUUCAAGGAAUGCAUUGGGGACUAUGCUAUAUAAUACAAGGCAUCAAACCAAAGUCUUUUAAGGAAUUGGCUACUAAAGUACAUGACAUGGAACUUAGUAUUGCUGCAGGUGAAAGCUCAUUAUUAUCUAUGCAAGAGCCCAAGAGAAAUAAGCCUGAAGGUCGUAGAUUCAGAAAGUGUGCUCUAAAUGUCGAGGGAAAUCGAUCUUUAAUAGUUAACUCUACUAUCAUAAAGGUACCAAUUAGAGUUACGAGGAAGAUCGUCAACACCAGCUACUUUUAAAAAAGGUGAAAGAAGGAAACCAUCGCUGAAAGAGCGACAAAAAAAAGUGUAUUCAUUCCUCGACUCAGACAUAUAUAGGAUGCUAGAUGAUCUACUUGAGGCAAAUCUUAUCGAGUUGUCAGAGGUGAAAUGUCCUAAAGAAGCAAACCAAGUGAACAAUCUGAACUAUUGUAAAUACCAUCGCUUGAUCAACCAUCGUAUAACAUUCCUAAUUCCAAAAUCAACAAAGUAAUUAUACUAGUGAAAAUUUAUGGGUAAUUUUUUUUUUGUUAGCUUAUUUAAGGUUUACCAAAAAUUUUAUUGAAAUUUUGGCAGAGUUUUCCUUAUACCGAGGAGUUCCAAGUUAUCGACAAUUUAUCCUGCACACAUUUCAUGCCCAUUUUGUAAUCACCAUAAAUUUAUGUUGCAUCGCAAUCACAAUUAUUACUAGUCACAAGAAUAACAAUCCACAUAUUCAUUCCAAACAUAAAAUUUACAAUGCAAACAAAAUGGUAAUUAAACAUGCAUAGUAACAUUCAUAUUACAAGCAUAAAAUAGUAGAAAUCUUAAGUCUCAAUGAUUAAUAUAAGGAGAUAUUAAUAACGUUCGGGUCAUGUAAUUACUUAAAGCACAAUACACUGAAAUUCAUUCAUUUCAAAUUCAUACAAAAAGAAUUAGAAAUAUUAACUUUCUAAUUCAUGCAAAAGGAAUUAGAAACAUGAAAUUCAUAAAAAAGAAUUAGAAACACUAAAUUUCUAUUUCAUACAAAAGGAACUAGACACCUAGGACACUACUCCUAACAUGAAUGGGAAGGACCUGCAAUAUCAAAAUGUGAAAAUAAGUAUAUUAAAUGUAAAAAUACAACAAAGAUUAUGGAGAGUCACUACUACAUGCAUCUACGUAUAUAAUUACCUACUCGAUAGUGCAUAAUCAUAGUUGUCUAGAAAAAAAACCCACACUUAACUCUUCCUUUACUGCAUCUAGAGCUAUCAAUCUACAACCCACCAAUGAUUUUCUUUUUCAAUUAUUACAUGUUGUCCUUUGUCGGGUACACCCAUCUUAUUACCCUACCCCAAGUUUUGUAAUUAAUGAGUUUGGGUGGGGGCAGUUUAGUAUUUUAAUAAAUAAAAAGUAUUUUAAAAAAUAGGCUAACAUAUGUUGCGUAAGCAUCAAUGUUUCAGGCAUUUCGUCGUCUUUAGACAACAUAUGUGGUUGAUACCAAUGGCUAAAAUUAUCAUACCGGGGUGGCUUCCGGUUUUUUUCAACAUUUCCUCCAUGAAAAUGAGGCAUGCGUAUAGAGACUGGUUUAACACCUAUAAUCAUUCUUUUUUUUUUCUUUCCUCUCUCUUUCUUAGUAUUUGCACCUGCCCUGUGAUUUUUCAAAUCAACUACUAAACUUCUUCUUUUUUUAUUUAGUCCUUGUUCUUUUGGUUAAUGUAUAUUAUAUUUGAAAUAAUUUAUGAAAAUAAAUUUUUAUUUUAAUUUUAUCCUCAUUCAAUUUAUGAAAUUAUCAAUUUUUUUUUAUAGAAUCUAGGAUAAUUUUUAGAAUUGAAUUUUUUUUUGCGAUUUCAUCCUCCAUUAUUUUUUUCCUAUUGAUUUCAUCAUCAUUCUUUUGAUUAUUGUUUUCUUUUUUCUUUGCAAAUUUUUUUAGAUUGGUAUUUGUUUAACCCAAUUUCAUCCUCCAACAUUUAAUUAGUUUGAAUUUGAGCCUAUCGGUUAAGCCGGUGUCUAGGAUUUUAUGGGUUACAAGUUUUGGAAAUUAACUCAGCUUUAAAGGGCUCACUCGAGAUUGCUUUAUUUUAUUUAUCAUUUUUUAAGCUAAUAUUUUUUUAGUUUAUGAUUGAAUAAAAAAGUUAUAAUCAUUUUAAUACAUUAUAUAUAUUGGUUUGAUAUAAUUGGUCCUUCUCUUAGACUUAACUCUAUCUCAUUAAUCCACAAAAAAUAUUAGUCAGGCCAUUCUCAGUCUAUUUAGAACAUAUCCUAUAUCAACAAAUUUGAUAAUUGAUACAGUUUAUCAUAACACAACAUAUUAUGGGAAGACCAUAACGAUAAUAUGAAGUCUCAAAGAUUGAUCGGAAAGAAAAGAAAGAUCUUAACAGCAUUUAUUCCAAAUUCAUUUCAUUAUACAACUGAUUAAUUGAAGAUGAAACAAGAUGUGUGUCUGUGUUUAAUAAUUAAUUAAGAGGUGAUAUUAUUAAGAAAAAAAUUGAUUCUUCCACUUAUUAAAAUAAUAUUUAAAUAGUGAAAGGUGAUUCUAGAAAAACAUAUUCUAGAUAAAAAAAAAAUACAUUUUUCCAGAUUCAGAAAUAAAAAAAAAUAAAAUUGCCUCACGCUUAACUGAACUUGCCUGGCUUUUUUCCCAUCUAUUUGAGUGAUGUUGGUGGGCUUGGGCUGGGAGCAUGGUUGUUUUUCCUCUUGGGCUAUUUUUCUUUUGCUUGGGGCUGCUAUCGGCUCAUCAGCUCAUUUUGCAUCUGCCUUUCACUCUGCCUCUCUUCGCCUGGUUUCCUGCGCUGCCCCUCCCUCUCACUUGAAGCCACCAAGAGCUGAGCAGUUAUCACGAGGUGGGAGUGCAUCUCUUUGUCUCUUCAAUUACAUAGUUUUGGCACGACUGCGAUUUCAGCUUGCUGUUAUUGGGGGGUGGGUGCUGAUUGGAUGGAUUAUGAGUCUGUUUCACGGGUCUUCCUCGCUUGAUUGGUGUGCUGGAAUGGCUGCCCUUGAAUGAUGCCCCCGGCUUGGCAAGUUAUGCGAGCUUUUUGCAAGAUGUUCAAGGUAUUUUUUGUUGGGAUGGGUGUUGGACGAACGUGCUUGCCUUUUUAACUGGAUUUGGUUUCGAUGGCCCAUUCCAUCUUCUUUGAUUUGGGAGAGUUUAGGUACGAUUUUUCAGCCUGGUUUGAUUUAAAUUGUUUUCUUUAUAUAUAUAUAUAUUGCUAUAUAGUACAACCUUGCCAUGCUUUGCCAAUUCAAUUUUGGGUGUCCGGCCAUGUUAGCUGUAACAUUGAUGCCUACUACCCUUGAUAUCAUCUUUCCCAUCAUGGUCAGCUGGACUUUUUUUUUUUCUGGGAUGUGCUUGUUUAAGUCUGAUUGGGAGACCUCUAAAGGAGUCCCUAUGCUAAUUUAUCUAUUUUCUUUACUUGGUUUUGCAUUCCUGCUUUCUCUCUUCUGCUCAAUGCUGUAGCUCAAUUGGAAUUCAAUUUAUUGUCAUUGGUUUUUUACUAUCUUUCAGGUUUCCAUUCUUUUUUCUCACCCCAUUGUUGUUUGACAGUUGUUUUGCCAUGUACUGUCCCUAAUUUAUUUUUUUAGAGUUGAAUUUAGCUCAGUGGUGUUAUUUUCUGCUUUCUUUCUCAGGAUUUUGGCUCUUUUGCUGGCGCAGCCACCUGAUAUUCCAUGGCUUAGGUUGCGUGAUGUUGCUCCAGCUCACAAUUUGCAAGGUUCGUUUCUUUCCAGAGACCCUGCUGGUUUCCUUUUCUUUUUUUCGGGAAGGACUUUUUUAUUAGGUUUAAGAGCAUGUCUGAGCUUCCUCCUAUUUUUCGGCUUGCUCACCUUCGUUUGUUUUGUUUUAUGUGAUGCUCUUCAGUUACUGGUUGUAUGAUGUGUUCAGGAAUGCUGUGUGUCUUUGAUUGCCUUCGACUAGGCUUGAUCGAAUAGCCUUUGUCAGGGUUAUGUGACUCUUUGGCUGGUUUUUUGCAGGUAUGGUCUUCCUUCACUGCAUUCAUUUUCGUAUGGCUAAAUUUAUUUCAGAUGGUUUCAAUAUCGGCUUUUCCUAGAUCCAUCUUUUUGUUGUUUUUUAUUGUGGUUUGUUUUUGAUGUCGUUGAGGAUGGUUGCAUUUCAAUCGUGGCCUCUUACUUACUUUUGUUCUAUGUUUGCUCAUGUGCUGUUGCUUAUCCGGUUGGGCCGUUCUUCAUUGCUUGCUGCAUUUUUAGCUACAGUAAUUUGUUUUUUUUGGCCUUCUGCUGUUCUGUUUCUACAUGUUAGUUCCUUCACUUUUUUUUUAAGGUUUUUGCUGUUUUUGAUGUCGUUGAGGGUGUCAUUUAAUGUUUGUUAAAAUUAGUUAAAGGACCCUAGAGUAAUGAAGGGAACUGAGGAAUAGGAUGAAUAGAUGAAAACCAAACACUUGAGAUAAGACAGCAUGAGAUAAACAGUAAUGUUCUAAUGUUUAAUUGGAGUUGAAUUAUUUAAAUGCAUAUAUCCAAUUUCUCUUUGCAUAAGCAUCAUUUUAUGUUCCAUUUAGUCCUGCCAGAGUCAUUCACUCCCUUUCUCUUUGCAGCUUUAACUCUGUGAUCAUGGAAAAGGUACAUUUUACAAGAUAUGCAUUUUGGGGGCAUCUAUUGGAGAAUGGAGAUAUGACUGCAAGAGGGAUGACACAAAAUCACAUACAAAGAUUCAUUCUUGAAAAUAUAGUCAUCUUCAGCCCUGGUUUAAAAAACAUAUAAAUGUUCUCAUUGAAGAACUUACAUGGUUCCAGCAAUCCGAGUGCUGAUGUGGGUAUUGUCCAUCUUCAUUUAGCUUUGCCAAACCAAAAUCAGAAAUUUUGGCAUUGAGUUCCUUAUCAAGAAACACAUUGCUUGUUUUGAUAUCCCCGUGCCCAAUUUUUAUUAUUGACUCUUCAUGGAGGUAAUCCAAACCUCUAGCUGCUCCCAGGCAAUUUUUCUGCCUGAUAGGCCAGUCCAGUUUCAAUCAGAACUUUACACCCUUCCCUGUAAAUUAUAGAAGAUAAAAGACAUUCAAUUUCUUAAAGCCAAACAAAUUACCUUUUUUCCAAAAUGCUUCUGAUGGAAGGAAGAAAUUAACUCACCAAAUAGAGCACGGGACAGGCAAUUGUUCUGCAUGUUCAUGUACCCAAGCAUUAAUUGGUUUCCUCCUCCUAUAUCUCGUACUAUAUACAAUGAUUACUAAACCUCGUACAAUAUCUAGUGUACUCGCAAUAUUGACUACUAUAAAACUUCUGAUUAUUAUUAACAAAACUCUCUGGACUGGUUAGAUUACUAGCUGACAACCUGAAUGUAUUCAUCCUAUAUUAUUACAAUUAUACAUGAAUUCUAUGUGUUCUAUCCUUUCUUGAAAUACAGCUAUUCUGCUACUUAAUACUGCUAUUUGUUCUGAAAUUUCAUCUAUCUCAGAUUGAGUCCAAUAAGGGGUCAAGUAUCUCAUAAAAUCUAUAGCUGGUCUUAAUUCUAAUUUAAAUCGUCUUAUAUUCAGUCUUAAUUCUCUUAAUGCAUUAUUUGCACUUCUAAUCUGGUCUCUAUAUCUAAUAUGUCUUCUUUUAUUUUCUUCAAACUCCCCUCCUACUAGCUUCUUAUCUGGAAAUGAAUCUCCCCUGCUCUCAUCACCAUUGCAUUGAAGACCUCUAAGAGACCUAUCUCUCGCAGCAGGCUGCACAUGUUCUCUAAUCAUAUUCUCCACAUCAAUCAUCAUGACAUCAUUGUUCACUGAGGAAGAACAUUGUUGAUCAUAAUUUCUUUCAAGGCCAAGACAUUGUAGAUCUGCUGGUUGGGACGAAUCUCCUCUAGGCUCAUCUUCAUUAGCUGUAAGCCUCUCAGGAGAGCCACCUCUCACAACAAGCUGGUUCAAUCCCAUGAUCAUGCCCUCAUUAUCAUGAUCCUCCAAGGAAAAAGUUAUGUUGUCCCGAGUAUUUCUUUCACAAUCUUGCUCCACUUGCUCCCUUCCCACAGCAGUCCCUGGUGCAACAGGGAUCAGGUCUCUAGGAAAACUACAAACCCUAUCAAGCUGAAAAUUUCCCAUGUUCAUCUGCACGAAUUCUAGUUCUCCAGGUGAGUAAAAAUACCAUUCUGGUUCCGUUUCUGCAUCGGUCACUACGUUUCCAACUUCACUGUUUUGCUCUAGCAAAGAAGUUGACAUUGUGUUGUAAGCCCCAUCAUUGUUUGACGUUGCUGUGGUUUUACGUUUCUUUUCUGGAGGACCAUCAACAGCAGCUGACAAUGUGGCUUGAACAUCUUGUGGAACUUUGUCACAAAUUGUAACGCCACCGCUUUGAACUCCUGACCUAUGAUGCUUGAACCUGGUGAUCGGAAUUUGAUUGGAUAAUAAAUGCCCACAAAACUUACACCGCCUACGACCGCCAGGUAUCUCCUCAACAUGCUCCCAGAAUGGACCCUUUGGUAGAACCAUUUUCUCCUUUUUCUUCUGUGGCCUGCAGGGGGGAAUAACAAAUUCAUUUAUAUGGAGACAAUACAGAAAUAAGGAUUGCAUUCCAUGGAAGACAAUGAGAUAAAUCUCUGAAACAGAACUAAGCAAAGGAAAAGGCUGCGUAUAUAUGUAUAUACCUUCUGGUCUGAUAAUCUGAUAUUGUCUCUUCAAAAGAAUGCCCUUGCAGCUGUGUGACAGAGAUGAUAAUUGAAGUUGGUAGCAAUACAAGCUGUGAGAACUGAACAACAAUUUCAGCUUUGAAAAACAGAAACAAUAUUCAUGUAAUAUUUUUCCUAGAGAAAUAAAAGAGAGAUCAAUCCAGUAUUGUUUAAUUUGUGCAAGGGAAAUUAUUUUUUACGAGUAAGAAAAUGAAAAUUUUGAAGAAAUCAUUACUUUUUAAACAAGUAAGAAAAGGAAAAGACUGCAUGCAUACCUCGAUCGUACGGAGCAGUACCCUUCAAAGAAAGAAGCCCAGAAGCGAAGGGACCAAGUACAAAUUCUACAGUUCGUCAACAACCAGCAAACAUCCUAUCCAUAAGUGUGUUACGGAAUAAACUGAAGCUGUAAAACAAAGCAUGUAUAAUUAAAUCAAUCAUUAGGAACAAGUUCUACAACUUGGUCAACGAUUUUAAUAUAACUAAAUAGAUACUUUUAUUUGGAAGAAUCAAAACAAAUAUGUUUACAGACAAGAAAAGAAAGUAGAAUUUAUAGUAUGAGUCGAGUUCAAUUAUUGAUUAAGCAACUUAUAUAAUUAGUGGUAGAAACAAGAAAAGAAAGUAGAAUUUACCUUGGAAGGAAGAAAGACGUUGAACUCCAGGUGAGAUGAUUCAAUCAGAAAAAGGCAGCACUGAUCAUCAGAAAGGUUUAAUAAAUUUGGUGAGGGAAUUUAGGAAAUCAAUGGUAUACUAAGAGAUCUCUUUUAUUGGAAAUCAAUAGUAUCUAUUAAAGUCAUUGCGAUCUGAGGAUUGAGGGUCGUGCUUCAGCGGUAUGUGGGGGCUUGUAUUUUUCUGCCGUCUCAAGUUCGACUCUUUCUGCUUACCCUGUCAUUCUUGUGCUUUACUUGUUUAUUGAGCUUGCAGAGUAUUCAAUGAACCGUGAGAAAUACUCAUGGUGCGAGCUUGAAACCCCACGAAAGAAAAAAAAAAAAAAAAGUCCUUGCGAUUUGGAAGCAACUUUAUCAAAGUCGUAAAGGCAUAUCUUUUUCUUUGGAGAAAACAAUUUUUGGCAGGAAGCUACAACUUUGCCGAUGGUAAGCAAGCUGUCCCACCGUUUUCAAUGAUUAGCUUCCAGCUGAUAAUAAUAUAAAUUAUAUAUUAAAAUAAAUAAUCAAUCAAAUUUAAAUUUUAUUAUUUUUAUUUAUUUAAUAAAAUUAAAUAUAAAAUAGUAUAGGGUUGUAAGUUUUAAAUUCAAAUUUUUUUAUAAUAAUACGUAGUCUCCACUCUUUAAUAUAAUAAUACAUGGUAAUCAAGAUAUAGUCUUUAAUAUAAUAAUUAUCCAUAAUCAUGAUCAAUUUUAUAUUAAUAAUUUAAAUAUUUAUAUUACUUCUAUAACAUAUAAAAUAUUAUUCACUCAUCUUACUUAGUUUCUCAAGUUCUUUUCCCUUUCUUCCUCCUCAUCUUCUUCUUUCUUUUUUUUUCUCUUUCUUCUCGGUUCUCUCUCUAAAAUCAGCUUUCUCUUUCUUUAUCUUUUUUUUUCUAUUUAUAUUUAUCAAGCUUUUAUUCAAUUACCUUAAUGCUUUUCAUCCAUUUACACCUAUUUUAAGUCUUCAACGGCAUUGUUGUCUUUUCUUAUUUAUUUUCUCUUUUUUUUUUCAAAACAUCACCGGUGCUGCCAAAGACAUUUAUCUCAUCACUACCAUAUGAAGAAGGAAUAAUGUUCUGCUAAAUGUUGAAAAUACGAAGAAGGAUUCGGAUAUAUAAAUAUUUACUCAUGAAAAAAAGAGAAAAAUGGAAAUUCUAGUUAAAAUCAACUUAUAGGUACUGUCGCACGUCACCCGCGCGUCGUCGCGGCGAAGAUUCCACUUCAAUCUAAAUGUGAUGUGUGUCCCUAUUUAUCUAUCUUUAUUUGGCCAAUAUGAGGGAUAAGAAAAUCUAGUCUUUUAUUGGUAGAAAAUGGAAUGGGAGUCGCCACCUAGUAUUUUGGUCACUAGGAACCCUAACUGGUCUCAGAGAUCGGGUACGGGGGCUGGUUGCGUAAAGGGAAGGUAUUAGCACCCCAAAUACGCCCUACCUAAGGUAAGCUGCAUCGUUUUAUUGUCUGAUAAAAUUUAAGGUGUUUUCGUGUUUUCCUAGUUGUUGGUCUGUCUAUGGUUCAAGAAAAAUCCUCCUCAGUAAGAAGGUCUUUAUCUUCUCGGGUAAAGUCCUAACCGUUCUAAUGUCUAUACCAAAACUUUAUUAUUAAUAUUUAGGAAUACGUUUUACGUAUAAAUUCGUAAUCCCAAAUACUAAAAGAAAACAAAAGAUUUUUUAGAAUUUUUGAAAUAUUGGCCUAGUUCUCAUGGCUUAAAUAAACUGGUUAUUAAAGCCAAAAUGCAUGCUAAUACAUAUAUUGUUUUGAAAUUUCCUUUGUUGUGUGAAAAUAUGAUGUUAGAAUAUUUAUAUAUAUAUAUUGGAGAGACUAGGCCGUAUGCAUGAAAACAAAACAUUUUUUUUGUAAUUAUGUAUUUUUUGAUGUUUUGACGAAAAUCGGGUAUUUUAAUACCGGAUUUGUAUAUUUACCGUAUAAAAAUACAAACCGACAUUGAUCAAAAUACAGUAAUAAAAUUACAACAAAAUCGCAUAUUUUUUUAAAUGAUUUUUGAAGAACCCUUUUUUAUUUUUUUUGUUUUAAAACAUGUAUACAUAUAUAAAUAAUACAAAACAAUAUAAUAUAUAAUAUAUAAUAUUAAAUGGGCUGGGCUGGUCCGGCCCAACCAACUGGGCCGAACUCAGCCCAAAAUGGAUUGGGCCGAUCUCGGCCCAAAAAACUGAUAUUCUCCUCUGGGCCAGACCCGGCCCAGAAGGCAGGGCUGGGCCAGGAUCAGCCUGGCCCAUCAAACAAGACUAGCUGGGCCAGAACAGGUCUGGCCCAGCACAAGAAACCAACGGGGGGAAUUAUUUUCCCCCCAUCCUCCUGCAUGCAGAACGAAUGUUCUGCAUGCAGAAGGAAACGCAGGUCACAGAAAUAAUAUGAGGGGGAAGGAAAGUUUACCUGGCGCGGAGGAGGCGGUGGCGCUGGUGGUACUGCUGCUGCCGGAGGCGGUGCUGUGGCGGAGGCUGGUGGCUUCACUGGCGUGCACUGGUCCCGGCUGGAAGAAGAAGGAGCCGAUUCCUGCAGAGGAGAAGGAAGAGAGCUUUUUGGGUUAACCGGUUGCAACCUUUGCUGUCUGUGUGGAGGCUGUCGCUGCUGAGGAGAUGAUGGGGACGGCUCUGCGGUGGAGGAACUCGGCUGCUGUUAUAGGGUUCUCCAGGUGUGGCUGGCGGCUUGAAGGGAAAUGGGGCUGCUGUGAUUUGGCCGGGGAAGGAGGCCGAUGGAAGGGAACAGCUGGGAUGGAGAGGGACGUUACUGCUGCUGUUCAGCCGCUGCUGGGGCCGAAUGGAGGAGAGACCUGGCGAUGGAAAUGAGGGAGUGAGGGGAGACUGUUCUGUCAAAGAGAAGGGCGAGUGAAAGGGAGAUGGGGGAAUGCAGAGGAGGCUGCUCCGGUUUGGGAAAAGAAGCUGGAAAUGAGGGCUGGUUACAGGAAACCGGGCAGGAAAGCUUAUUUUGUGCCAACUUUGAGCUCCCCGUUGCCAACCGUUUGAGCAUGAAAAUUGAUCCUAUUUGUAAGGCCGGACAGAGGGUAAUCUCGUCUUCAAUGGGAAAAACAUCCCAGCCCUUGAUUCGCCUUGAGUAAUUCAAACCGUUGGUUCAAAGUGUGCACCUCGAACUGCCAAAUUUGCAGACUGCCCGAGGUGCACGAUUUGGGCCAAAAAACGGAGCUGUUCCAAACCUUUUUGGACAUGUCGGUGCAUGCUUUGUCGGAUUUGGGGGCCAAACGAGGCAACAAACACGCCUGGAAGUCGGCCACUCGGGCAGCUCGGCGGGGAAGAUAGUGAACAGUACUGGGCGACGCGUCGCCUGCCUCUUCUCUUUUUUUUUUUUUUUUUUUUUUAAAAAAAGUGCAAAACGGUGCCGUUUUGAUAAAAAUAGGGAUUUCUUUGCCAAUUUUCAAUUUAGUCCUCCGACUUUCAAUUUCGUUCAAUAUUAUUCCCUAAUUGACCCUAAAACUUCUGAUUUGAUGCAAUUUAGUCCCGGCAUAACUUCUUCUUCGGCCCCAGAGUUACGCGCCUUUUGCAAUAUGGUCCUUGGUCUCGGAUUUAUGCAAUUUCAUCCCUAAUUGACCAUUAAACUUUCAAUUUCUUCAAUUUGGCCCCCGGAUUGUGUUAAUUGCAGCCCCUAUACUUGCGCGCCUUUUCCAAUUUGGUCCUUGGUUUCGGAUUUUCUCAAUUAAGCCCCCAAUUGGCCCUUAAACUUCAAUAUUUAUGCGAUUAGGCCCCUGAUUUGACCUAAUAAAUUCCUAAAAAAUAUAUUUUGGCCCCAGAACUUAAAUUUCUUCUAAUUAAAGCCCAAAUUGACUUAAAAAUCAAUUUUUCUUACAAUCAAAUCUCCUAUAAAUUCAUUUAAAAAUCCAAUUAAGUCCAUAAACAUCCAAAUUUGGGCUUUUCUCCUCAAAUUUCAAAUUUCCCUUCUCAACAGGGCUCUCCUCCUUCAAGAAUAUACUAUCAAAAAUCCAAUCUUUGUAUUUUUAACCUCAUUGACCAAUUUUCCAACCAUCUUCUGAGCGCUUCUGCCUCCUGUUAUUUUUCUAACCUCCUUUGGCUAUAUAUUUAUAUAUAUAUUUUGUGGGGACCCAAAAAUGGGUUACAACAGGUACUGUGAAACAGAAAUGUAUUUUGUCCAAACUAAAAGAAACCAAUGUUGCAUUUAUAGAAGUUCAUUGAUUUCUAGAAGCAGGACAUGGACAGUUUUGUUUUAGACAUGAAUGUACUUUACUUCUGCAACAUUUAAGGGAGAAAAUGAAGUCUCAAGUGAUUAUAUUGACACAAGAUGUUAAAUUCAUAAGUAAUGGCCAGAAAAUAGUAUGAGAAAUGGAAAAAUUUCUUGAAUAUGUUAUAACAAAUUAAUAUUUGAGUAAUGAUUCACAGUUUGAUUAGUUGUUAGAACCUUAAUAUUACAAUGUGAUGUUUUGCAAUGAGCAUUAAACCGAGACUAGCAUGCAUCAAAUGUUUUACAAAUGUUUUCCAAUCAGCAUUAAACAAAGAAUGAAGGAGAAUUUUAGAGAGUAUAAGCUUCCUCAGUCAAGAAGGUAAACAAACUCCUCCUUUGGCCUGUAGUUUGUGUUGCUCUUACCACUGACAGUUUCCAAAGCAAUAACUCCAAAGACAUUUAUUUCUUGAACUCCAAAAGAAAUGCUUCUGAUGAAUGGAAGAAAUAAACUCAACAAAUAGAGCACGGGACAGGCAAUUGUACACAAGCUUUAAUUGGUUUCCUUCAACAAUGAAAAGUUCCCACCUCAAACUCAUGGCUAAGAAUUAAUAAUUUGCUCUGCUUUCUUUGUUUUCUGUUCUACAUUUAAAACCUAAGCAAUUUUAUGGAGAACAUUUGACCUCUUGCUAAAGCUAUUUUUCUACCGCAAACUUAUAGAGUGUAGUGAGGACAGAUGAGAGAAACCAUCAAACAUUCAGUUACCUUGUAAACAGAAGCAAAAACACCCUAAUGACAAAAUCAAACAGUUACAUCUAUGAGGUUCUUGAAUUAGGAUUUGUUUUUUAUUUUUUUAUGGAAAUUAACUUUUGAAACAUGAAAUCUUUGGGUUGCAGCGGAACUUCAAGUUGAAAAAUAAAUCUGGCGGAAAUCGACAUGCACAUUCUUGUUUCUUUCCAGAAGCCAUUGAAGAACAGAUCUAGUGAGCUUGUUUCCUGUCAAGUACGUUGACAAAUUAAAAGGGGUUGUACGUUAGAACCUUAAUAUUCACAAUUCGAAUAUUUUGAUUCACAAUCGUUUGGUAAAUCAGCAUUAAUUCAUAGAAAUGUGAGAAACUCUGCUCAUAAGUUAUAAUCUCAAAGCAUUAAUUCAUAGAAAUGUGAGAACUUGUCGAUCAAACACACACACACACACACACACAUUAAGGGCUCAAGAAUGAUAUUAUAUUACACUCUAUCAGUUCUUGUAGGCCUACAAUAUUAGGGAAACUCCUGCAUGGUGGGAGACACGUCUCCACUUUAAAACAACUACUGCAAUACUAGCUGAACCUAGGAAAUGCCUUGGCAAGUCAGAACCUACUACAGUGUGAUGUUUUGCAAUGAGCGUUAACCGAGACUAGCAUCAAAUGUUUUACAAAUGUUUUCCAAUCAGCAUUAAACAAAGAAUGAAAGAGAGUUUUAGAGAGUAUAAGCUUCCUCAGUCAAACCUCUAGCUAUGCCUAGACAAAUUUUCUGCCUGGUAGGCCAAUCCAUUUCAAUCUAAACAUUUCAUCCUUCACUGUAAAUAAUGGAAGAUAAAAGACAUCCUACAAAAAUCCAAUUAAGUGGACACAUAGCUUAAGGUUAAUUCAUUAAAAUCCAAUUAAAACAACAAUGCUUACUUUUAAUUUAAUAUUAUAUUAACGGCAGCGUCGUCACUUAUCCUACAAAAACCUUACAAAGGGAAGAAGCACAUCCUUAGCGUUAGGAUGCUCCCACUCCACUACUGACUCCCACCAUUCUUUUGGUUCUAUAUACAUUCUUUUAAGAGAGGGGGAGGAGAUGGCUGACCAUUUUCAAGCAAUGGAAGACAAAUUCCCAUCCUCUUCAGCUUCUCACAUUCUAUAAUCCAAAUUACCUCGAGAGAAUCGCAAAUCAGUUUUGCAUUGCAAAUACUUUUCAGUUCUGGUAAUCCAACCAAGUGCAGAAGUCUUAACUUGGGGAGUUUGAAUUCAUUGUUCCUGCUUUCUUCACCCAUAACCCCUUCUUCAUCUGAUCUUGUUCCAACUAUUAUCUCCAUUUUCUCACAUUCUUCAACUGUAAUCUCUUCCAGGUUUGCAAGGCUUGGCAGCAAGACAAGAGGGAACAACUUCUUCAUGCUCUUACAGCCAGAACAAUUAAACCUUUAAGACCAGAAAAUAUACCUUUGUAAGAUGGCAAAGGUAGUGGAGCAGAGCAGUACCAAGAAGAUGAAACCAAGCUCUCCAUGCUAUUGCAACUACUAAUAUAGAUAUACUCCAGAUCAGUUGCAUACUUUAUUAGAGAGGAAACAUUGCAUAAGCUUUUUGCAUCAUCACAUUCAUCAAUGGUCAGUUGUUGAAUGUCCUCUGGGAACAUGUCCCGAAAAUCUCCGUCUCUGUUGAUACUCAAUUUACUCAAAACAAUUACUUUAUUUUUGUCAUGUUCAUAAUGAUUGUGAUGUAGCAGUCCUACAGCAAUUCUGUAUUUUUUUAGCAAUCGGGUCUUAUCUUGAGAAUUGAGAUACUCCACAAAGUCAGAGCAACCUUCAAAAUGGCAUUCCAAAGUUUCCAACUUCCUCAAGCAUCCCACAUCCUUUCCUUUAACUGUUAUUGGAGAAUAUAAUGGAAAUAUAAAACGAUUGUCAACAACCGAAUCCUCCAGUAACACAAAGACUUGCAGGUGAGAGAGUUUAGGUAACAACCCACUAGGAAACUCCUUUUCACCACAUCCAUCCAUUAUAAGAUAACUCAGGUUGCAUAGACAUUCCAUGCCUUGAGGCAUCUUUUCAAGUGCCAAAGAACCAGAGAGAUCUAACCUCUUCAGUGCCCUGAGCUUUUCUAAUGACGGUACAUGCCUUAACAUUUUACAACCAAUGAGCAGUAAUGCAGUGAGAUUCACCAAUUCAGAGACAGAAUCGGGCGGUUUUGUGAUACCUGUAUAAGACAGAUCAAGAACCUUGAGCUCAUGCAAUUGCUCAAAAAAUGAAUCUGCAAUAAGCACCAGUUGAUUUCCGCACAACAAUAGAGUUGAAAGACUGGGACACCUUGGUGAAUGGCCGGAAGGAAUUUUUUCAAUUUGGUUAUGCAUCAGUGAAACUCUCAUAAGAUUCUCUGUCCACUCCUCUGCACCUGGCAAUUCUCUUAACUGUUCACCUGCUUUAACCAUGCAUUGAGAGUUCUCUUGCUGUAUUUGGAUGGCCAUGUCCCUAAUCAAGUCAUGCAUCUUGACAUAUCUUUCAUCAUCACCCCAUUUCUCAGCACUUUCCAAUAGGCAGACUCUUUCAAGUUUAUUCAGCAUCGAGUGGCCUUUGUUAAAUUCUGCCUCCCUACUCUUCAGCCCUUUUAUCACUCCCUCGUCAAUCAAAUAAGCUAUCAAAUGCUCUCUAGGGAUCAUGAAGUCUUCCGGGAAUAAUGCACAGUACAAGAAACAUUGUUGCAGUGCUGACUCCUUUAAGUGCAUAUAACUAAAUCUUAAUAUUUGGAAUACCUCCUCAUCCAUGCCCUCCUGCCGAACUCUUGAUUGUUUCAGUUCCUCUAAAGCAUUCCUCCACUCACAUAUAUCAUCCACUCCCCUCAUGGUUCCGGCCAUUGUUUUAAUUCCUAGAGGCAAACCAGCACAUUCUCUUGCCAUAGAUUUUGCAAUUUCUUCCACUUCUGAAGGAAUACGUCCAAGUAUCUUUGUGAACAGAGCCCAAGCUUCUUCCAUUGAAAGAGGCUCCACUUUGAUUGUCUCCUGGCAGACCAUUCGCUGACAAACUUCAAAUGAUCGAGUUGUAAGAAUUAGUUUGCAUCCCUUCACUUGGAUAGGAAUUCCCACCACAUCAAAAUCAAAACAGUUCCACAAAUCAUCUAAAAUGAGAAGCCACCGUUGUUUCUCAAUUAAUGCUUUUGACAUUUUGGCAGCCCUUUUCCUCUCGUUGUCUUCAUUUGAAAGAUCUAAACGAAUGUCUCUUGCAAUAAGAUUCUGCAAUUUAUAAACACUAAAAUCCUGCGAUACCGUGAUCCAGUGAACAUGAGGAAAAGUGCCAGGUUCUUGUAGAAGAUGAUUGUAGAUAUGUGUGAGCAAUGUUGUUUUGCCCAAACCCCCCAUCCCGUAAAUGCCAAUACUUGAUGAGGCUUCAUCAUUCAUUAUCCACGACCAGAUAGCAUUCUUAUUAUUUUCAAACUCUCCACCUGUUAGUUCUUCAGUUAGAAACACAUCUCGUCCGCUGUCAUCGCCAUUACGUUGAAGAGCUUCACGAGAGCUAUGUCUCACAACAGGCUGCCCAGGGUCUCCAACCAUGUUGACUAGUGGAGUACGGAGUUGAUCAUGAUAUCUUCCAUGGGUAAGACAUGGUGGAUCAGUUGGUUGGGAAGAAUCUUCUUGAAGCUCAUCGUGAUUAACAAGUGGCCUCUCAUGAGAACUACCUCUUACAACUGGCUGCCCAGUUACUCUCUCCAGAUGUUGCCUUUGUGGUGCCACAUUGUCGACUUCAACAUGUAAGAUAGUAGGUAAUGGAUCUCCUGGAGUCUCAUUUGUGUUGCCUGUAAGCCCUCCAGAAGAGCUAGAUCCUGCACCAGGCUGCACAACUCCUCCAGUCCCAUUCUCUAUAUCAUCCUCCAUUACAUUAUUGAUCUCUUCCAAAAAUCUUUCAAGUGCUUGACCCAUUGUACCUGGUGCUUGUAUCCUUCCUGCAUCUCCUGCCAAAUUGUCGACUUCAUUGUUUUGUUCUUGUGGAGUGGUUAAAAUGGAAUUUUCAUUAAAAUUGCUUGAACUUGCUAUGGUUUUAUGUCUUUUGUUGCCACCAUGCACAGCUUGAAAAGCUGCUUCUUGAACGUCUUCAGGCACUUUGUCACAAAUUGCAACACCACGCCCUCUGACUUGAGACAAAUGCAAUUUGAUCCUCGAAACGGAAGUAGCAGCAGCAAAUUUAUAGCCACAAAAUGUACAGUUGAAAGGACCAUCAUCCAGCUUCUCAACAAAAUCCCAAAAUGGAUCCCUCUGUCUAGCCAUUUUCACCGCUUUCUUCUUUGGCCCUUCAAACAUCAAAUAAAAAAUUGUCGACUUCAUUGUUUUGUUCUUGUGGAGUGGUUGAAAUGGCAUUAUCAUUAAAAUUGCUUGAACUUGCUAUGCCUUUACGUCUUUUGUUGCCACCAUGCACAGCUUGAAAAGCUGCUUCUUGAACGUCUUCAGGCACUUGUCUACAAAUUGCAACACCACGCCCUUGGACUCCUGACAAAUGCCAUUUGAUCCUCGUAAUGGAAGUAGCAGCAGCAUAUUUAUAGCCACAAAAUGUACAGUUGAAACGACCACCAUCCAACUUCCCAACAAAAUCCCAAAAUGGAUCAUUCUGUCUAGCCAUUUUCACCGCUUUCUUCUUUGGCCCUUCAAACAUCAAAUAAAAAAUUGUCAAAAGUAAGGCAUAAAAAUGGAUGUUGAAUUAAUUGGAAAAUAAGAACUCAAUCUUAAAAUGAAAAUUUAGAGGAAAUCAUUAUUUUUUAAAUAAUUAAGCAAAGGAAACACUACAAGAUUUAACAGUUUUACCGACGGAAUUUUUCCGUCGGCGUAAGACACAUAUUCCGUCGGUAAUUAAUUUACCGAUGGAAUCACCGACGGAAAUGCUCCGUUGGUGAAUCUUUCGUCGGUAAUUUUUUGUCCGUUGGUAAAUCCAUUGGUAAUAAAAAAAUAAAUUUAUCCGCUUCAUUUCGUCGGUAUAUCCCUCGGUAAUAAUAUUUUUUUAUUAUCAACGGAUUUACCGAUGGAAUUACCGAUGGAAUUUUCGUCGGUAAUUCCGUCGGUAAUUAUUUAAAAACAUUUUAAAAAAAUUCAUUUUAUAAAAUUAUAAAAUAAUUAAAUUAACAUAAAUUAACACUGUAUAAUAUAUACUCAAAAUGCUUGGAAAAAAGAAUAAGAAAAUCAACUCAAACAAAUUUGCAACAAAUAAAUUCAACUAAAAAAAUUCAUAUGAAAAAAAUGAAGUUGCAAUUGCUAAAAAUUUAAAAAUCGUAUAAAUAAAUCUACUAAAAAUUGAUCUCAUAUGAAAAAAAAUCUCACAACAACAUUUAUACAAUUAUUAAGAACAAAAACAAUUAAAAAUAAAAUAAAAAACAAAUAUAGUGAAAAAAAUCAUGAAAAAAGAAGAAAAAAGAAAAAUCUUACCUUAAUAUAGUUGCAAGUGAAGCUAAGGAGAGAAAAAAAAAUUUCGUUAAGCAUAUUAAUUAAAAAAAAAACUAAGAGGAUAAAAGAAGAAAGAAGAAGAAGACAUACCCAAGCAUGGAGGUAAAGAGAAGGAGAUGAGGAGAGAAAAGAAGAGAAAGAAAUAGAUAAGAAAUGAUGUUUUUUACAUAUAGUGAAGAAGAAGAAGACGACAUACCUUAAUGAUGUUUUUUACAUAUAGUGAAGAAGAAGAAGAACAAGAAGAAGUAGAAGAAGAAGAAGAAGAAUAAGAAUAAGAAAUGGGUCUCUCUCUUGUGAAAUAAGGAGAUUCAGGUUUUUUAUUGGGGCGCGUUACUGACGUAUUUACCGACGGAUAAUUGAAUAUUAAUAUUUUUUAAUUAUUCCAUCUGUAAUUCCAUCGGUAAUAUUUAAUUUAAAAUUUUAAUUUCGUAAAAAGUUUUCAGAAACCGCCAAAACAUUACCGACAAUUUUUCAAUCCGUCGGUGAUUCCGUCUGUAAUAUUUAAAUGAAAAUUUUAAAUUAAUUGAAUUUUUUCAGAAAACCGCCAAAUAAUACCGACGGCUUUUCAAUCCGUCGGUGAUUUUGUCCGUAAAGAACAACAAUUAACAGUGCAAUUGGAAAGUGAACAGUUCUAGAGCUCUCUGGAAAAUAUCGACGGAAAAUUCUGUCGGCGAUUCCCUUUGUAAUUGACAUGAUGAAUAGUGUUCACAGUUUACCAACAAAUUUACCGACGGAAUUACCGACGGAAUUUAUUCCGUCGGUAAUUCCGUUGGUAAAAAUGACACGUCAUUAUUUUUUUUUGCUUUGUUUUAAUUUUUUUUCCCACGGUAAUUCCCUCGGUAUAUACCGAGAGAAUAUUUCCGUCGGUAAAAUCCCUCGAAAAUUUACCGACGAAAAUAUUCCCUCGGUAUUUCCGUUUGUAUUUAUCAAUUUUCUGGUAGUGAAAAGAGUGCAUACAUCAAUCUUACAAAGCAAUGCCCUUCAAAGAAAGAAGCCUAGAAGCAAAGGCAGCAAGAACAAAUCCUACAGUUUGUCAACAACUAGAAAAUUGUUAGUUAUUAAACUUAUUUAUCAAGAUUAAGUGUAUUGAAGUUAGUUCAAUGAAUAAUCAUCCAUGUUAGAAAUACUAUGAAUCUAGAAAUACUAUGAAUCUAGAGUAAGUAUUGAAGAGUAUAAUAUUAAUAAGGUACUUUAAAGAUUGUAAAAGACAUUUUAUAAUGUCUAUAUAUAUUGUAUGGAUUUGAUAAUGAAAGGUGUGAGAGUACCAUUGUUUAAUGUAUUGUAUUCCAUCAAAUUGUGUGAGUAGUGAUCCCUUCUCUGUUCUAUCAUUGUUUUUCCAACAAAAACAUCCUAGCCUUAAGUGUGUUAACAAAAUAAACUGAAUCUGUAUAAUUAAAUCAAUCAUUACAAAUUCUAAAAUUAAAUAGGCAGGCACUUAAUGAUAUAUUUUCCUACAUAGAUGUUAUUUAAGCAGAUUAAAAAUUAAAACAAAUAUUGAAUAAUUUAAAUAAUUGUCAGAAAAGCAAUUUAGAAGAAAAAUUUAGAAGAAAUUCUACUUGUUUUUAAGAUAAGUAGUCGAAGUUGAUGGCAAUAUGAACAUGUAAGAACAAAGCUAUGAUAUGAGUUUUGAGUUCUAAAAUAGAUUAGAGUAGGAUUUACCUUGCAAGCAAGAAAGAUACAGAUCAAGAACUCAAAGAGAGGNNNNNNNNNNNNNNNNNNNNNNNNNNNNNNNNNNNNNNNNNNNNNNNNNNNNNNNNNNNNNNNNNNNNNNNNNNNNNNNNNNNNNNNNNNNNNNNNNNNNUCUCUCUCUUAGUGGAAGACUAGCUAUUAAAAAAUUCACUGCAAUUUGGAAGCAACUUUAUGUUGUUUUCUUUGGAGAAGUCAAUAGAUAUUGGUAAACAGCAAGUUUAUUUUCUGUAUGCAAAGACUAGUCUCACUGCCUCCUGGAAACCACCAAUGUCACUCUCAUGAAUCACUUUCUGCUUUAUUUAUUCACACAAACUAUUCAACGUGUUCAUAUUACACUGCUUCAAAUCCUUGAGUCUACUGUUGUUAGAUAUCAAAAUGUGAAUCUUUCUGUGGUUUUGGAGUUCGAUCUAAUUAAGAUUAUAAUUGAAGGGUGAACGAAGAAACCCACACAAGAUCACAGAUCGUGAUCGUCAAGUUGGAUGUCAACACGCCAAUAAACAAGACAUGAAAGCUAAGGUAGGACAAGUGCUCGUUCGAGAAUCACCAGUUUGGCCGUCGCUGUGACUUUACUUUUAUGGAUAGCUGUGACUUUUAAAUGUUCUGUGAUAUUUUAAAAACUAAUAUCUCAGCCCAUUCCAUGUUUUAUUUCCAGAAGCUAUAAACUUUUUAGAAAUCAUAUUCACAGCUGAAAGUGAUAGCCAAACUUUUCCAAAAAGGCCUUUAUUCUCCAAAGCAAAUAUUCUAUGAAUUGAAUUAAAUGAAAGGUUACUCUUAGAGGACAUGGCAAACUACAUAAUAAAUACACUUCGACAAAAGGCUCGGGCAGUAUAAUUGAAUGGAAGAGCCACCCCUAACUGCAUGCGCAAAAAAAAACAAUACACUCAUUGCCAUGCUUAUGCAGUAUGACGUGUAUUUGUCCAGGUAAUCAUGGGAUGGUAGAAAUUUCAUAUUGCAUCCUUUAACUUUAAAUUUGCCUGAAUCAAUGACAGAACUGGGAUCAUCAGCUUGUGUUGAAUUUCAUAUUAAAUAUCUUGAUCUCCUGAUGUCUUAAGCAAGGUGUUCCAAGUAGUCAGGAGAGCAUGGAUACAGAUGAUUUAUUUUUUCAUCCAUCCUGCUGCCAAGAGAUUAACUUAAAUUCUUUGAUUUAUUUAAGAAAUAAAACCAUUUAAAGUCCAAUAUUAUUCCUGCAUACAUCACAAAGCUGGUAUAAGAUCACGAUAUAUAGGUAAUAACCCGAUUAAGAAUCCUCCAAUCUGCGUUGAGAAGACAGAGAAGGAGAGGGAGGGAGCGAGAGAAAGACUGAGAGAAGAGAGGGAAUCCACAGCAGGAAUUAACAAUUGUUCUCAUUCAUAUUUUGCUUGCCCAUUCUGUUACAACUCCCACUAUAUAUAGGCACAGCAGAAGAUGGUGCUGACUUGACAACCUUCCCAGUAAUGAGAAUUACAAUUGAUUGAAACGGUCCGCAUAAGUAACGGCUUAACAACAGCUUAGUAUGGUGCGUUUUGUCUGUUGGGGAUUCCGACUCCCCUAGCGCGGACCGGUGGUGUUCUGAUAGUUGCUCAUAGGAGGCUAAGCACACUGGGACACAAUAUUUAACAUGGUUCGGCAAAACCGCCUACAUUCACGGGAGAGAUCAAUAUUAUUAGAGAUAGAGAAAGGAUUACAACACAAUACAUGGAGGAGGAGGAUCACUUCACUCAAACUCAACUCCCAGCUCUCUUGCUGCACUUGCAGCUGCUACCUUUGCAGCCCUUCACUUUCUCUCUUGGUUUCUCUACUGCACUCUCUACACUCUCUCUCUCUUUGCUCUCUCUCUCGGUGCCCUUUUAUAGGCAACAAUGGUGCCACAACUCCAGCUCUUCUUCAACAAAGGUGGCUGCACAUGGGUUGCACCAUUUUGUCAAUGGUUGGUGCAACUACCAUUGACAAUGGCAACCCUCUCUUCUUAGGGUAGGUUGCAUAAGUCAUUGUCCAUUAAUGGCAAAUCCCAACAAUCACCCCCUUUGACAUUUAUAUGGGCAAUUGUCCUCUUGCUUCUUCAGCACAAGCUUGCAUCCUGCAGCUCUUCCAAGUUUACUAUUCUGAGAGCGUCUUUGGCCAAGUUUACAGGUACUUGCCACACCUUUCAAUAACCAGAGUUACCAAAGCACAACUUUUCUCACACAAAAUGAUCACUACAACCAGAUGGUCUGCCACUUCACAUCUGAAGAGUGUUAACGCUUGUCUCUGGGACACAACAUUCCCCUUCGAGCGUAUCAACCAUGCUCGGUCCGGAAUGAUUUAUCAAGCCUUACAGCAAGGCUUACAACACCCCCUCAAACGGAAAUUUCUAUUCCCAAGUGUGACAGUCAUUAUCUGAGUAUCUUAAUAUGAUCACGAGCUCACCACUCUUCCAAGAGUCUACUCAUCCAGGAGUUGUGUCUGCCCUCUGUUCCACCCUAGGAAUCACGCCUUACUUCUCCAUGAGUCUCUCGCUCUUAGUCCUAAGAGUCCAGGUAGCUCUUCACCUUUACCUAUAGGGACAACCCAUUAAAGGUUGAUCCAUAUAUGUCUUGAUACUCUGAGUAUUACAAUGCCUUCACCGAGCUCACCACCUUGACAAGAGUCAACUUGUUCCAAGAACCUGCGCAUGCCCUCUGCUCAUUCCUAGCAGUCGCGUCUUAAUGCUCCACAAGUCACCCAUUUAUUGUCCAAGGCAAAUGUCUUCUAGCUCAUUGAUCUUUAGCAUAGGGGCAAUAUCCAUGAAAGUCAAUCAUGCAUUUGUCUUCAUACUCAUCAUAGCCACUUCAUUGACUAUACACCUGUCCACUUAUAUCCAGCCAUCACAUUGGCUCUGGGGCGUUCUGAACUUGGGCUCCUUUCAUGGCCCGCACACCUUCUCUAAGGUGUCUUCGCCCGUUGUCAUGGGGCGGGCUGAUCUUGGGCUCAUAUCACGGCCCUCACACCUUCUCUCUAAGGUGUCUUCGCCUGUUGUCAUAAGACGGUCUGAAUUGGGGCUCCUAUCAUGGCCCUCACACCUUCUCUAAGGUGUCUUCGCCUGUUGCCAUAAGGCGGUCUGAACUGGGGCUCCUAUCAUGGCCCUCACACCUUCUCUAAGGUGUCUUCGCCCGUUGUCAUGGGGCGGUCUGAAUUUGGGCUCAUAUUAUAGCCCACACACCUUCUCUCUAAAGUGUCUUCGCCUGUUGUCAUAAGACGGUCUAAACUGGGGCUCCUAUCAUGGCCCUUACACCUCCUCUAAGGUGUCUUCGCCUUUCAUAGGCGGUCGCAUCCUCCUUCAGCUGAGAUGCUUCAAAGUGGCUCCACAAUUCUCUACCACCAUGUGGACUAUGGGAGAGAUAGCUGCCACUGAUUACAUAGAAAGAGAAAGUUGCGGUAUACUCCUCGCAAUCCUCCACCUCGAUUUCUAUGUUUGGAGCUUUUGCGCCUUUCUGCUUGACAACUCCACCUACACCAACUCUCUUUGGUGUCUUCGCCCUUCAUCAUAGGCGGUCGCCUUUUAUCACAGGCAUUUGCACCCCCUCAAUUAGGUGCCUCUACAACAACUCUCUUUCCAACCUUGCAUGCAUUGGAAAGGUCUUCGCCUGUUGUCUUCAUCAAGAGCACAAGAGACUUCCUGUUGUACACAACUUUUACACAGUCUCUGCUCUAAGCUUCAUCUGGGAAAACUUCUUCUCCUUGCACUUGUUGUCUCAUUACAGUACCUCGUUGAAUCAUAGGUACUUCUGCACAAUCUCCGUGUGCCCUUGUGCAAUUUUGGUUCUCCAGAUUCUCCAUAUUCCUUGCUUAUGUUUGACAGUAGCUCAUCCUGUCACAACACCUGUCCAAGUCAAAAUAGGGCGCCAAUCUUUAUCUCCUUGCUGUAUUUCUCUUCCAUUAUCAGGGUCUUCAUCAAUUCUACCCUCGAGAAAUCACAGUCACCGAAUCUAACUUCUUUGGAGAAAUCACCACUCCAUCAGAUCCUUGAACAUACGGAACCCAACUGUUCCCUUGUGCCGUCAUCUUGCUAGUCUUCAACCAUUUCAUUUUAAACUGCUAUAUAUAUGAAAAUAGUACCGUAUGGAUAAUCCUUCCACUAAGCAAGUUCCCAGGAAAGAUUGAAGGGGUCACACUGGUCCCGCUUAAAACCCUAUCUCAUAGACAGAACUUCUUAGGCCAUAUCUAUCCAUCGUACUGUCUUUCCGUAUAUACAACCAUUUGCUAGCUUUGUUGCGGCUUUCCUUUACAAGUGAUCUGGAAUAUACUGGUUUAAUACAUGAUUUCUCAACAUCUGGCGAGAUUACCAGUGCUUAGAUUCGUCAAGAUUGGUCUUUGUCAAUUUUCACUCUACACCUGUAAUUGUCCACAUUAUCGGGUGUCCAGAGUGUCCCAAUUUUGCCUUCUCUCAAGGCAACUGAAAAAAUUCUCCCCACUUAGCAAUUCAACACACAUAAUUGGGCAAAUGUGUGCGACUUCUUCUUCUUCAUCUCCAUCGACCACCAUGAUGACCUUUAGAUGCCUCCUAAUCGGGCAAUCUCUUUUUGAUAAUUCACCACCACCAUUUUCGGUUUCAAAUCUCAAUGAUCAGACCGUACCAUUGCAUUCGGAACGAUCAAAUUAGCUGGAAACAAGUCUGAAAUCAUCCAAAUCGCAUUUCGGACGACUAAGAUUUGAUCAAAACAAUUCUGGCCUGAUUAACGGCCCAGAUUCAAUAUCAAAUCCGGUUGCACGUAAGAUCAACUACACUCAAUCCUAUCCCUCAGCUCGCAGCUCGGCUCAAACUCGACUCGGCUCCACUAGGCGCGGCUCCACUCAGCUCAGCUUGCGGCUAAUGACGUGGCAGGUGGGUCCCUCUGUGCUGAUGUGUCAGAUGACUGUGCGCUGACAUGGCAUGCUGACUGUGCGUGAUGACAUCAUGCUUACAUCAGGCUGACGUCAUCCCUGGCAUGCCUACUGUGCAUGCUGAUGUCACAAUUACAUCAUGAUGAUGUCAUCGAUAUCCGGGUCAGUCACAUGGGUCGGGUCAACUGGUAUUCGGGUCGGGUCAGCUCAUCCGGGCGAAGAAGACGCGUGUGACGCGUGGCGCGUGGCCAGCAACCUCGCCGACGUGUGAUGGCGCGUGGGGAUGUUUCCGACGUCCGAUUUCGAUGCCGUUUUCGCCAGUGGCUUCGUCUCUUCCUCCUCUACAUAGUGGUAUGGUCAAAACAUAAUUUUGACAGCUUUCAUGUUUUAGCAAAAAUCAAACACCACUUUAAACCAUGUGCUCUGAUACCAAUUGUUAGGGAUUCCGACUCCCCUAGCGCGGACCGGUGGUGUUCUGAUAGUUGCUCAUAGGAGACUAAGCACACUGGGACACAAUAUUUAACGUAGUUCGGCAAAACCGCCAACAUCCACGGGAGAGAUCAAUAUUAUUAGAGAUAGAGAAAGGAUUACAACACAAUACAUGGAGGAGGAGGAUCACUUCACUCAAACUCAACUCCCAGCUCUCUUGCUGCACUUGCAGCUGCUGCAAUGGCAGCAAGGCUGCUGCCCUUGCAGCCCUUCACUUUCGCUCUUGGUUUCUCUACUGCACUCUCUCUCUCUUUGCUCUCUCUCUCGGUGCCCUUUUAUAGGCAACAAUGGUGCCAUAGCUCCAUCUCUUCUUCAACAAAGGUGGCUGCACAUGGGUUGCACCAUUUUGUCAAUGGUUGGUGCAACUACCAUUGACAAUGGCAACCCUCUCUUCUUAGGGUAGGUUGCACAAGUCAUUGCCCAUUAAUGGCAAAUCCCAACAUUGUCAUGAAAUCAGUGGCAAUUAAAAGUUAUCCCUCCACCAUUGUUAAUUCCUGAGAUAUUACAGCAUCCCUUCAUGUGUUGAAAUCUGAAGGCCUUUAAGAUGGAUCAUUAUUUCUUCUCAGAAAAAAAAAAAAGGGGAAUAUUUCUUAUCCAUAAUUGAAGAAAACGUGUGCUGCACAUUUUUUUGCGAAGGCAAAAUGCAUUUAUCAGAUCGAACAUCUGCAAUUAUCAUGACAGUUAUGUUGCCGAGGAGCAAUUCGGCUCGCUAAUGACAGCAUGGAUUAUCCUUGAAGAAACCAACACGCAGCCCUGCCACCACCAACCCAUACACCAGAUAGCUACUGAACAUUGCGUUCUCCCCUGUUUUUCAGACUUGUGCGCAUUGUUAAAUACUCUGUUUAUAGCCUUUAACCAAUCUAGGAGAAUCAACAUACUAAAGAAUUCAUGACGGAUAGAUCUCUGGACACUUAGCUCCAGCAAUAGCAAUUUCCACAUGCAUAUCAAAUAUUUUAUAGCAAGUUUCUACACAGUAAUUGUCAAUAAUCCUAAAUCAAUCAUAUGGAUAGCAGAACAUACCCCUCACUGUCUUGAGUAUGGGACCUAAAACGGGUUUUGCGAUUUGCCACUUGCGGGCUGGCCCUAGGCUGAAGCAUCCUCUUGCGAUGCUGGACUCAAUAGUUAAAUUCUUCUCUUUCCCUUUCAGUUGCAAUUUCACCAUCUGCACGUCCACCAGCAGAUUCUUUUCCAUAUGCCUCCAAAACCUAGGUGCAGUAUCAAGUUAGAAAGCACAAAAUAAAAAGAAAAAAAGAAGAGGGAGUACCUGCAUGAAUGUGUUUCUAAAUAUAGAACUUCUCCCUUGUUCAAACGUGGAGAGGUAUAGAGAGACUUUUUCAGACCCUUGUCAGCAACAAUACUAAUGCUGUAUUUUAUACUGAUACCUUAUGCAGGCAUCAAAAUUGAAACAUUAAUCAUUUUACUGACAGAUAAGUCAAGAAAUACGAGAGUUAGUGUACAACAGCAGCAACAAGAAAAUUGGAAUGGUCACGAAAUAGCAGUAUGUUAAUGACUUAGAACUAAUAAAUUAAAUGAACUGAUACAUAUUUUAUUUGUCUUAGAAGCAUGCACUAUGUAAUCAUCCUUGGAUAAUACUGGCAAUUAAAAGUUCUGACCCCAAUGCGUCCUUGGAAUUUCCCUAGACAAUCAAUAUCUUGUGGUCAAACAAACAACAAAUCAGUUGAAGUGAUGGGGAGUCCACAGCUCAAAAGCCAAACGGAUCUGCAAGUUACAGUGUGCCAGAUGGGAAGCAAUGUCAGAGCCCUCUCUAACAAGGAAGGAGAUAGUUUUAUCCAUGCUAGCUGCGGACCCCAGUAUUGAAGCAUGUUAUUUCUGGCCAAGUGAUUUUCUUCGGAGUUUCUAUCUUCAUUAAUUCAUUAGACUCGAGGACUUAAAGCAGUGUAAUGUGAACUCGUCGAAUAAAUAAAGCAGAAAGUGACUUAAACUUUGCAUGGUGGUUUCCAUGAGAGUAAUCAUGGCAUACAGGACAAAGAAAGCAGAAGGGAUUUGCACCUCUGUUUUAUUUCUUUAGAGUAAAAAAACAUAAAGUUGCCUGCAAAUUGCAAUGACUUUAAUAGCUAGUCUUCCUCUAAGCCUAAUUUCUUAUUGAUUCCCUAAUUUCCCUCACCAAAACUCUUAAACCUUUCUCAUGAUCUGUGCUUCCUUAUCAUUCAAAUCUAAACCUCCCAAAAUUUUCAGAUAAAGGCUAGUUAAAUUCACGCAAUCAAAGUAAUAAGAAUCAGACUGUAUGAAGAAACCCUUAUUCAGGCAAUGUAAAAAGGUUUGAAACUUUUUAAGGAAGCUAAUGGAAAUUCCAUUGGUUGUUAGAACCUUACUAUUCACAACUCGAAUAUCUCGAUUCAUUGAAGAUUACAAGCAACUCAAACACAUAAUUUAUAACAGAUGGUAUGAGUCGGAAUGCUGAGGCUAGAGUCCAUGGAAGGCAGAAUUUAAAACCUUUCCUUUGGCAAAUCUUUCUAUUCGAAACUCAAACCAAUUAUAAAUUAAAUUUUCAUAAUAGAAAGGGAAGUGACAACAGUGAUUUCCAUAUUGUUGGGAUUAUUACUUUUUUUUUUUUUUAAUCAAAGCCAGGAGAUCUGGUAGUUGAAGAUAGCUUAUGUUUAAUAACUUGGUAUUUUUCAUUUGUUUUAGAAGCAUGCAGUAUGUAGUCAUCCUUGGAUAAUACUGGCAAUUAAAAGUCCUGACUCCAAUGCAUCCUUAGAAUUUUCCAUCAGGUGAAUGUAUUCCCAUCAGCUUAAAAAUCAAUCUCUGCCUUUUACUCCCAAUACUUGCAUAUCCAAACCUGAAGGAAGAGGAGGAGGCGGAAGAGAGAGGGGGCAAAGAAAACGACACCGCCUUCUUCCUCUUCGAGGAUGCGGGGUUUCUCGGUGCCUGGUUUCCAGAAUUGCUGUGACAUAUUUUUUUUUUUAAUUUUUGAAUACAAUAAAUAAAUAAAUGUAAAUCAGUUCAAUAUAAUUCUUUCCCAAUAUUACAACUAAUAAUGAUUUUUCUAAAUAUAUUUACCAAGAAAAUAUGUAAUAAGGCGAUUGUGAUGCAAUUCUGAUCCAUCAUAGGGAGAUUCAGAUUCCAAAAUCAGACAUUCUCACGGUACACAAAUAACCAUCUUUCGAAACAAAUCUUGAAUCUAGUGGGGAAAAAAAAUAUAUCUUUAACAAAAAAAAAUCCUAAAAAUAAAAUCACAUAUAAAUUCUUCAUUGUAAAUUUUCAUUUGUUUCAAAUAUUAGGGACCCAAUUGAUGAAUUUUGUUUUACCUUGCUCUUCUUGAUGAUGUCUUGGCUGACGUUGUUUUUUCAUAUUAGCUGAAAAUCCACCUGGAAUCUAAUAUAUGUAUUAAGAGUUUGUUUUGGUAAAGUAAUGCCAAGUGAUCAUUUUCAAAAGUAUUUUUUAAUUAAUAUUAAAAUAAUUAUUUUAUAUUUUUUAUUAUUUAUUUUUGAUAUUAGUAUAUUAAAACUAUUAAAAAUAUAUCUAACAAAAAUAAUUACUUUUUUACAUUACUAAUCAAAAUAAGAAUUUGGAAGCUGGAAUAAGAAAAACUCAAGACAAAGAAUUUUUAUUUGUGUUUGGCUUGCAUAUGUGAACUAUAUAUGCAACAAGUAUUUACGAGUUGAUUUGUGAAAUUAGGGAUAAAUUAACUGCAAUGUAUUAUUAAAAUGGAUCUAUUUAUUAAAGAUAAGAAAUCAUCUCGAUAUAUAACAAAUUUGUUAAAAAUUUAGAAUUUGUUGUAAUUACUUUGAAUGACUUUUUUUUCUUUUCAGUUUAGGGUAAUUUCACAUGAUCAUCCACAAGAUUAUCAUUUUAUAGCUAAUAAUGUCAGCCUACGAGAAUUCCAGCACGUGUAAUGUUGAUGAAGAUUUUAUUUAGGGGCUGUGAACUGGUAGGAAGCAUAAGAAAUUAAGGGUACCAUUAGUCCAGCUUCUGUGCACUAAUUUGGCCUCAGCAUCGUCACCCGCUGCACCCAUNNNNNNNNNNNNNNNNNNNNNNNNNNNNNNNNNNNNNNNNNNNNNNNNNNNNNNNNNNNNNNNNNNNNNNNNNNNNNNNNNNNNNNNNNNNNNNNNNNNNNNNNNNNNNNNNNNNNNNNNNNNNNNNNNNNNNNNNNNNNNNNNNNNNNNNNNNNNNNNNNNNNNNNNNNNNNNNNNNNNNNNNNNNNNNNNNNNNNNNNNNNNNNNNNNNNNNNNNNNNNNNNNNNNNNNNNNNNNNNNNNNNNNNNNNNNNNNNNNNNNNNNNNNNNNNNNNNNNNNNNNNNNNNNNNNNNNNNNNNNNNNNNNNNNNNNNNNNNNNNNNNNNNNNNNNNNNNNNNNNNNNNNNNNNNNNNNNNNNNNNNNNNNNNNNNNNNNNNNNNNNNNNNNNNNNNNNNNNNNNNNNNNNNNNNNNNNNNNNNNNNNNNNNNNNNNNNNNNNNNNNNNNNNNNNNNNNNNNNNNNNNNNNNNNNNNNNNNNNNNNNNNNNNNNNNNNNNNNNNNNNNNNNNNNNNNNNNNNNNNNNNNNNNNNNNNNNNNNNNNNNNNNNNNNNNNNNNNNNNNNNNNNNNNNNNNNNNNNNNNNNNNNNNNNNNNNNNNNNNNNNNNNNNNNNNNNNNNNNNNNNNNNNNNNNNNNNNNNNNNNNNNNNNNNNNNNNNNNNNNNNNNNNNNNNNNNNNNNNNNNNNNNNNNNNNNNNNNNNNNNNNNNNNNNNNNNNNNNNNNNNNNNNNNNNNNNNNNNNNNNNNNNNNNNNNNNNNNNNNNNNNNNNNNNNNNNNNNNNNNNNNNNNNNNNNNNNNNNNNNNNNNNNNNNNNNNNNNNNNNNNNNNNNNNNNNNNNNNNNNNNNNNNNNNNNNNNNNNNNNNNNNNNNNNNNNNNNNNNNNNNNNNNNNNNNNNNNNNNNNNNNNNNNNNNNNNNNNNNNNNNNNNNNNNNNNNNNNNNNNNNNNNNNNNNNNNNNNNNNNNNNNNNNNNNNNNNNNNNNNNNNNNNNNNNNNNNNNNNNNNNNNNNNNNNNNNNNNNNNNNNNNNNNNNNNNNNNNNNNNNNNNNNNNNNNNNNNNNNNNNNNNNNNNNNNNNNNNNNNNNNNNNNNNNNNNNNNNNNNNNNNNNNNNNNNNNNNNNNNNNNNNNNNNNNNNNNNNNNNNNNNNNNNNNNNNNNNNNNNNNNNNNNNNNNNNNNNNNNNNNNNGUCGUUUUAACGUCCAGUCGAUUAAUCGUCACCGUACGAGUCAGGUAGUGAUUCACAUCUUCAUGUCUGCACAAAAAUGAACAAGGGAAAACUUCAACAACGAUGAUCAAAAGAGAAGACACCCAUGGCUACUUGCAGUGGGCAGUGCACCCAUGGCUACUUGCAUGUUUUAUGCUCUUGAAGUGUUGAAUAGUGUCUCAUUUCACUUGUUUGAUGAUAGUGCAAUACCGUAAUAUUUAAGAUUUUUCACAUUCUAAGUUAAAUCUUUUUUAUUUAUUUUGCUCGCGUAAACACAUUAAACUUAUAAUCAUGAGCAUGAGCAUAAAAUUGAAAUAAUUAAACAUAAAAAAAAUAAAAAUAAAGGUAUGAAAACUAACCUCCAAUAAAUCAAAUGUAUAAAGAUAAAAAAAAAAUUAAUUAAAAAAAAAGCCUAAAAUAUAGAUAGAUUCAACAAAAUAGUGAGAUUGAUUUGUAAAAAAAAUACAAUAAAAAAAUCUCAUGAGCUAGGGACCAAUCACAUAGAAGACAAACUCUAAAAAAUAAAAAAGCAAAAUUAUAAAUUAACAAAAUAAUGAGGGAUGAAUUUGAAAAAAAAUGUAAUAUAAAAGGCUUCAAAACAAAAUAAUAAUAAUAAUAAUAAUAAUAAUAAUAAUAAUAAUAAGAAUAAUGACUAAAUUUGAUAUAAAAAUAUUUUGAAAUCAAAUAUUAAAAGAGUAAAUUGAAAAUAAAAUUUAAUUAGAAAAAUAAUUAAAAAAUAGUAAUUAAAAAAAUGAUAGGUAUGAAAUUGAAGAAAAAACUUUAAAAAUAAAAUAAAAUAUAUAACAAUUAAAAAUAUAAAAAAUAAAUUAAAUACAAAAACCAAAUAAAAGUACAAUUUUACAUUUUUGUAAGGAGAAGAGAGACAAAAUAAAGAGGAGAAGAUAAAAGAUGUGGUAGAGGCCAAACCACACAUCUGUCGCAGAUGAUGACGUCCUUCUUUGAACGCCAUUAAAAAUUUUUACACGAUAUAAAAAUUUAAAUAUAAAUUUAGAUUGUAAAAAUAAAUAGUAAAAUCAUAAAAUUAUAAGAAAUUUUUUUUUAAAUACCAUAUAUUUAAUAAUUCAAGAAUCAAUUUAAAAUUAAUUCAAAAAACUCAUCCAUGACAAACAAAAGUUUUGGUUGGAGAGUGUAGCAUUUCUUGGGCAUGUAGUGUCAAGGAAUGGGAUUGAGGUUGAUCCUCAAAAGAUUGAAGCAGUUAAGCAGUGGCUUAGGCCUACUUCGGCGACAGAGAUUAGAAGUUUCUUAGGUUUGGCCGGCUACUAUCGGAGGUUUGUGGAGAACUUUUCUCGGAUUUCUGCAUCAUUGACUAAGUUGACGCAGAAAAAUGUUAAGUUUCAGUGGUCUGAAGCUUGUGAGAAAAGUUUCUUAGAGUUGAAAGAGAGAUUGACUACAGCGCUUGUUCUAGCAGUACCAUCAGGUUCUGGUGGUUACACAGUGUACUGUGAUGCUUCGAGAGUGGGUUUAGGAUGUGUUCUAAUGCAGCAUGACAAGGUUAUUGCCUAUGCUUCACGGCAGCUGAAGAAGCAUGAACAAAACUAUCCUACACAUGAUUUAGAGAUGGCGGCUGUAAUUUUUGCCUUGAAGAUUUGGAGGCACUACUUGUAUGGUGAAACUUGUGAGAUCUUCACAGAUCACAAGAGUUUGAAGUACAUCUUUCAGCAGAGGGAUCUAAACAUGAGACAAAGGAGAUGGAUGGAACUGCUGAAGGAUUAUGAUUGUACCAUACAUUACCACCCGGGUAAGGCAAAUGUAGUUGCCGAUGCUUUGAGUAGAAAAUCAUCAGGGAGCUUAGCUCAUAUUCAGGAGGUACGAAGACCUCUGAUUAGGGAGUUGCAUGAGUUGGUGGAUGAAGGAGUCAGAUUUGAUCUUAGUGAAGCUGGAGCAAUGAUUGCUCAUUUUCAGGUUAAGUCAGAUUUGUUUGAUAAGAUAAAAGCAGCUCAGAAGAAAGAUGAUUCACUACUCAGGAUUAGAAAUGAGGUUGAGCAGGGUAAGGCUGCAGGUUUUGUGAUAGGUGAUGAUGAUGUGCUGAGAUAUAGGGAUAGGCUUUGUGUACCUGAUGUAGAUGAUCUGAGGAGAGAAUUGAUGGUAGAGGCACAUCAGACAGUUUACACAAUGCAUCCAGGUUCCACCAAGAUGUAUAAAGACCUUAAGGUGUGUUAUUGGUGGAAUAGGAUGAAGGCUGAUGUAGCAGACUUUGUUUCUAGGUGUUUGACCUGUCAGAGGGUAAAGGGUGAACACCAGAAACCUCCUGGAUUGUUGCAACCAUUGUUGAUUCCAGAAUGGAAGUGGGAAAGGAUCACAAUGGACUUUGUGACAGGAUUGCCUAGGAGUCAGGAGGGUUAUGAUUCAAUAUGGGUGAUUGUUGAUAGGUUGACAAAAUCAGCCCAUUUUCUGCCAGUUAGGAUUACUUAUGGAUAUGCAAAGUUGGCAGAAUUAUUUAUUAGUGAGAUUGUACGGUUGCAUGGAGUGCCAAUCUCGAUAGUGUCUGAUAGAGGUCCACAGUUUACAUCGCGGUUUUGGAUGAAAUUCCAAGAAGCUAUGGGUACUAAAGUGCAGUUGAGUACAACUUUUCACCCUCAGACAGAUGGUCAAUCUGAGAGGACUAUUCAGAUCUUGGAGGAUAUGCUAAGGGCUUGUGUCAUGGAUUUUGGAGUUGGUUGGAGUAAGUUCCUACCAUUAGUGGAAUUUGCUUACAACAACAGUUAUCAGGCUAGCAUAGAGAUGGCACCUUAUGAGGCUUUGUAUGGUCGGAAGUGUAGAUCACCGGUUUGUUGGUUUGAGGUUGGUGAGAAGAGGCUAAUGGGACCAGAGUUGAUUCAGAUUACCUCAGAGAAGAUAGAGGUAAUUAGAAAUAAGCUUCAAACAGCUCAGAGCAGACAAAAGAGUUACGCAGAUAAAAGAAGGCGUGACUUAGAGUUUUCAGUGGGUGACUGUGUGUUCUUAAAAGUAUCACCGACAAAAGGAGUAUUCAGGUUUGGGAAGAAAGGCAAGUUGAGUCCUCGGUUCAUUGGACCGUAUGAGAUUCUGGAGAGAGUUGGGGCAGUUGCUUAUAGGUUAGCAUUACCACCAAACUUGUCUGCUAUUCAUCCGGUAUUUCAUGUUUCCAUGCUAAGGAAGUAUAUGUCAGAUCCAUCGCAUGUAUUAGAGGUUUAUCCCAUUGAAUGGAGGGAUGAUAUGGUUUAUGAGGUGCAACCAGAAGCUAUAGUCGACCGACAAGUGAGGAAGCUUAGGUCAAAAGAUAUAGCUUCAGUGAAAGUGCAAUGGAAAGGUCAUUCACGUGAGGAAGCGACAUGGGAGCUCGAGGAUAAGAUGCGUGAGGAGUAUCCUCAUCUUUUCGAUAAUCUCGGUAAGUAUUCAAUCUUUUCUCUUAAGUUUCGAGGACGAAACUUUUAUAAGGUGGGGAGAUUGUGAUGUUUUGAAUAAAUGAGUAGGAAAAUACAAUAAAGUCCUUGAAUGCUUAGAUGUAGGAAUAAAUUAAAUGAGGGGUAGUGUGGUAAUUGAACAAUAGUUGAUAUAUAUAAGUAGAGAGAAGGAAAAAAAAAAACAUAAGAGAGAUUUGAAUAUUUUGAGAGUUAACCGUGAGAGAGAAGGGAGAAGGGAGAAAGAAGAAGAAGAAGAGAAAAGAGGGAUAUUAGAAAGGAAAUAGAAAGGAGUUGGAGAAAAUAAGUAAAAAGGUAAGAUUAUGUAUAAAUAUAUGUUAAUUAAGCUUUAAUUUCGAUUUUGAUAAAUGUUAGGGUUAUGAAAUUUGUGUUUUGGGUUUGAUUGAUGAGUUAAUUUGAAUGUUAUAGAGUUAAUUGUUGUGGGUAUUUGAUUAUUUGGAUGAUUUUGAGAGAUUGAAUUGAAAGAUGAUGAUUUUGAGUUAUGAUUUUGUUUGAAUGGUGAAAUUGUGUUAGGAAUUUGGAGAGAACAGUAGGUUUCUGUUAAAAAUUAUGGGUUGGAGGUUGAAGAUGACAAAAUUUCGGUUUGGUCCCUCAAUUUUGGAAAAUUACAGUUUAGUCCCCAAACUUUGGAAAAUUUGCAGAUUGGUCCCUGGAGCAUAUUCCGAGAUUCUGAACAGAAUAAAAUAUGAAUUAUGGACAGAAUUACUGUAUAGAUAAGAGAAUUUAACACUUUCAAUUUGGUCCUCCAAUUUGACAAAAAUUACAAUUUGACCCUAAAAAUUUGGUAAAAUUCCAGAAUGGUCCUUGGAGUAUAAUGAGAUGAUCUGGACAGAAAUGAGGACUAAUUAUGGUCAGAAUUUCAGUAUAUUCAUGGAUUUAUGAUAAAUUUCAGUUUGGUCCUCCAAUUAGACAAAAAUUACAAUUUGGCCCUAAAAAUAGGAUAAAUUACAGAUUGGUCCCUAGCUGUAAUAUUAGCUUUUCAGAUUAGUUUGAUGAAUAAUUAAGGGUUAUUUAGUGAAUUAUUGCCAAUUUUAUUAGUUGCUUUAUUAUGGAUUAGAUUUCGGGAAAACCGUUAAAUUUUGGGUUUUUGAGAAAAUUGACUAGUUAGUUCAAAAACAUAUAGGGUUACGGAAUACAUCAUUAGUUAAGUUUAUUAAAUAGGUUAAAUGUUCUUUUGAGUCGUUCUUGAAUAUGUCUCCUUUGUAUUCAGAUAAUCCUGAUAUUCUACCGACAGGACGUCAGUAGGAUUUUCUUCGGUGUCUGCUUUUGGCUUCUGUUUGCUUUUGAGUCAGGUGAGUGGAUAAUUUUCCAUAUGCAUGAGAAAUAGUAUAAAUAUUUGAUUUGUUAAUAUGAAUUGAAUCAUGCUUCUUGAUAAUAUAUAUGUUGAUUAUUAUCCUUGUUUUGAUAAAGCAUGAUCAAUUGUUGAAUCCGAAUUCUUGAUAUGAACCAGUAUAUAUUUUGAAUUGAAUUCUGAAUUGAUAGCUCCUCAUUUGAUUGAUGUCAUGAGUUGAGCCUUGAGAUAUGAAUAUGUCUGUUUGAUUAUGAUUAUGAACCUAUGGUAUGUCAGUCAGAAUACCCAUGCUAACAGGAUAGUGUUAGUCUUUGUGCACAUCGUAUCUGAACCCUAGUUGGUCGGGGGUGUCACCAACCUGUGUGGACUGAUCAUCCCACAGUACGGAGCCUCAUGCUCAUUGCAUUUUGAUUUUCUGACGAGCUUUACCAUAUGAUAUUCUUGUUAUGGCCUAUUUGAGAAACCUUUCUAUAAGAACCUAGAGCCAUACUUGUAUAUAUAUUUCUCAUUGCUGUAUUACCUCGUGUGUGUAUAUUGAACGUUAUCUACUCACUGAGUUGUUGAACUCACCCUCUCAUUAUUUAUCAUUUUCAGGCUUAUAGCUUGAUAGCAGGUUACUUUUGUUGAACCUUCCGAACCUGCUCUUUGGUUGUACUUUGUACCUUUCCUUUAUGUCUAGUUAGUGCUCCAAAACUCUGAACUUAUAUAAACUCUUGUAUUAAGACAAUUCAAUUAUAUUAUGAAGUUGAUUUUGUUGUUAAUGCUGCGUUGAACUCUGAUUGAGUUAGGAUAAGUUUGUGUGUAAGUUUGGGUUCGUAUAGGUAUGGAACCUUGGAGGGGAACCUUGCCUAUGUGCCGGUCAUGGAUCCGGGAUUCGGGUCGUGACAUAAACGGAGCAAGUUGUCCUUUAACAGUUAACGGAGCAGGAAUCCCCUCCAAUACAAAGACUUGCAGGUGAGAGAGCUUAGGUAACAACCCACUAGGAAACUCCUUUUCACCACAUCCAUUCAUUCUAAGAUACCUCAGGUUGCAUAGACAUUCCAUGCCUUAGGAAUCUUUUCAAGUGCCCAAGUACGAGAGAGAUCUAACCUCUUCAGUGCCCUGAGCUUUUCUAAUGACGGUACAUGCCUUAACAUCUUACAACCAAUGAGCAGUAAUACAGUGAGACUCACCAAUUCAAAGACAGAAUCAGGUAGUUUUGUGAUCUUUGUAAAUGACAGAUCAAGAACCUUGAGCCCAUGCAACUGCUCAAAAAAUGAAUCUGCAAUAAAUUGCAACUGUGAAUUGUCGCAUAACAAUAGAGUUGAAAGACUGGGACACCUCGGUGAAUGCGUGGAAGGAAUUUCUUCAAUCUGGUUAUGCAUCAGUGAAACUCUAGUAAGAUUCUCUGUCCACUCCUCUGCACCCGGCACUUCUCUUAACCGUGCACCUGCUUUAACCAUGCCUUGAGAGUUCUUUUCCAGUAUUUGAAUGGCCAUAUCCCUAACCAAGUCAUGCAUCUUGACAUAUCUAUCAUCAUCAAACUCUUCCUUAGCGCUUUCCAAUAGGCAGACUCUUUCGAGUUUAUUCAGCAUCGAGUGGCCUUUGUUAAAUUCUGCCUCCUUACUCUUCAGCCCUUUUAUCACUCCCUCGUCAAUCAAAUAAGCUAUCAAAUCCUCUCUACGGAUCCUGAAGUCUUCCGGGAAUAAUGCACAGCACAAGAAGCAUUGUUGCAGUUCUGACUCCUUUAAGUGCAUAAAACUAAAUCUCAGUAUGUGGAAUACCUCAGGCUCCAUAUCAUCUUUCCUAAUUCUUGAUUGUUUCAGGUCCUCUAAGCAUUCCUCCACUCACAUCUGUCAUCCACUCCCCUCAUGGUUCCGGCCAUUGUUAUAAUUCCAAGAGGCAAACCAGCACAUUCACUUGCAAUAGAUCUUGCAAUUUCUUCCACUUCUGGAGGAAUACAUCCAAGCACCUUCAUGAACAGAGCCCAAGCUUCUUCCAUUGAAAGAGGCUCCACUUUGAUUGUCUUCUGGCAGAACAUCCGCUGACAAACUCCAAAUGAUCGAGUUGUAAGAAUUAGCUUGCAUCCCUUCACUCUGAUAGGAAUUCCCACCUUAUUAUAAUCAAAACAGUCCCACAAAUCAUCUAAGAUGAGAACCCACCGUUGUUUCUCAAUUAAUGCUUUUGACAGUUUUGCAGCCCUUUUCCUCUCGUUAUCUUCAUUUGAAAGAUCUAAAUGAAUGUCUUCUGCAAUAAGAUUCUGCAAUUUAGAAACACUAAAAUCCUGCGAUACCGUGAUCCAGUGAACAUGGGGAAAAGUGCCAGGUUCUUGUAGAAGCUGAUUGUAGAUAUGUGUGAGCAAUGUUGUUUUGCCCACACCCCCCAUCCCGUAAAUGCCAAUACUUGUUGAGGCUUCAAUAUCAUUCAUUAUCCACGACCAGAUAGCAUUCUUAUUAUUUUCAAACUCUCCACCU